rnacentral:lncRNA from 1 species
AAACGAAGAUCGAAGCCGACGAUGACAGAGUCGAUCUCUCCUACUAGGGCGAUAGAUCUGACGACAAAAGCCGAUCGUCCCUAGAAGAAGCUCAAAAGUCAUUCCUGCAAAAAAAAAAAAAAAAAAACAAAAAAAACAAAACAACACAAAAAAAACAAAACAAAACAAAACAGAAUUAAAAAAAGCAAAACAAAAAAAAAACACACACACAAAAAAAGAGAAAAAAGAGAAAGGGAGAAGAAAAGUUUUCUAUACCUUUCUGCUGAUUGGAUGAGGUAUAAGUGAGUAGGGUGUGAGUCUAUUUAUAAGUCCAACAAAUCCAAUUUUUAAAAGGAUUAGGAAUGAUAUUUAAUUAUUUUUUUUAAAAAAAAAACAAAUCCAAUUCCUAAAAGGAAUAGGAUUGAUUUUAAAUAUAUAUAUAUAUAUAUAAAGAAAAGAUAAUCCAAUUAUCUUAUUUUAUUUUAAAUUAUUUCUUUUUUUUUUGUUGGAUAAAUCUCAAGUUUAACUUUUAUUGAGAUAUUUAAAAUAUUUAAAAAUUUCAACAUUUAAAAAUAUAUAUAUAUAGAUAAAUAUUCUCAAUUUCAAAAUUCAAGUUAAAUUAACUUGCAUAUAUGACCUCAUUUUUAUCAUGAAUUUAAAUCGGAGCAUAAAUCCAACUUUACCUAAGAUUGAGGACCUGAUUUUUUAUCUCAAAUUAAAAUUGGUCAUUCCAAAUUCUUAUGCAUCCCCAAGAUAAAUUAAGGUACGGUAGAAACUUUAUCCUUAUUUCAAAAUUAAAAUUUUGGUUAUAUUCCAAAUUUUACUUAAAAAAAAUCAUCAUAUUAAAAAUUUUUUUUAUCCUCAAAUAAAAUUAAGUUAGGAAUAAAACUUUGAAUUUUUUUAAGGUUUGGCCAUAUUCCAACCCUUAUUUUAAAUUGAAAUCAAACUCACGUACUAAAUUCAAGUUUGAUUAAUUUGAUAUAUUGAAUUGAGUAAAAAAAAAAAAAAAAAAGAAGCUCGUACUUUGACUUCAAAUUUAUCUUUUCGAGAUUCAUUCACCCAUAUACGUGCAUAAAUCUCGAAAAGGGGGCAUUUGUUGAAUAAGAAAUUUUGAGACUAAUCACUAGUUGCCAUAUCAUUUAUUAAGUUAAUGAUGAAAAGUACAAAUAAUUAAAUUUGGGACUAAUUAAAAUUGACAUAUGCUCCAAAUUAAAGAGUUGAAAAUAAAUAAAAUGGUCAUUCUAAUAAUGCCACAUGUUUUCAUAUUAAUAGUUGGAUUAAGUUAAUCAUUUUAGUUCAAUUAAAUAUUAUUUACUUGGACUAAGUUCAAUUAAGCCCAAAAAAUAAGCUUAAUUGAACCCAAAGACUAAAUAUAACCUAAGUCCAUAUGGUUGAGCCCAUGGGUCUGGUCCAUGGACCAACCAGGUUCAAACCCAUAAAGCCCACCAGUGAAAUCUAUAAAUAGAGGAAUUCUCCUCAUUUGUAGGGGUUGGAAAUUUUGACUCUAGAAGAUCCAGAGAGAAUUCUUCAAAGAGCUAGAAGACUCCCUAACUCCUGAAGUCGACCAUCCUCGAAGAUUGAAGCUUCUUUAAAGAUACAAGCUUUCUUCAAGGCUUCAACUUCAAGAACAUCACGUGCUUCGCUUCCUCAAAUCAAGCUGAAGCAUCCAGUUGAGAGAGAAUCAGAGGAUCAAAUUCUAGAGAUUGAACCGCAUCGCAUCAAAUCAACAAAAUACAACAUCAAACUCAAGUUCAAGUCCACGAAUUAAAUUCUCCGAAAAUCUCGUGCGAACACAUAUAUUUCUAAAUAAAUUUAUUCGACGAAAGUGGCUAGAUUGGUGGGUUCGACGGCGAAGGCUUGUUGUGGCAGCAACGACAACAGUGGUUGGAGUGUGGAAUCGACGACGACAAGUGGCAAAAAAUUGGAAGGCAAGGGUUCUUCAUAACGACUCGGUAGCCCACUUCGUUCGACGAGAUUUUUUUGCAUUUUUGGUAGAGUGAGAAAAAAUUGCAUUAAGACUUCAUUCGACGACAUCGUUUUUGCUUAAGAGAAAAUUUGAUGUUUUUACUUAGUUGUAAUUGCGUGAGAGAGGGAAAUUAAAAAAUUUUGAAAUUUGAGGUUUUUUCAUUUGAAAUUUUUUUUAAUGACAAAAAAAUUGUCGUUAAUUAAUGACCCAAAAAUUGUGUGAAAUAAAUUAAAUUGUGUCAAUAGAAUUGUUUUAAGAAAUAAUCCAUAUUUUUAUUUUCAACAACACAUGUACCUCAUCCACCUCUUUUUUCUUUUAUUUUCAACGACACAAUGUCUUGAUUAAAAUCCAUUUUUCUAGUGACAAAUGUAUCCAUACCAAAGUGGGAAGCAGCUAAGGGGACGAAGGUAUAUUCGGAGAGAGAUUGUUAAACAAUUGUAAAAAGUAAGCCCAAGAAGAGAGGUCCAAUAAAAUUCAGCCACCUCUCACAUAGUAAUUGAAAUAGUCUAGCAAUUUCAACCAUUUCCCUCACAGAGAAGAAGAAGACCAUAGCCACUCGAGGCUUUUGCACAUACAAACACCAAGAAGAUGGUGUCCGGUUCCGUACCUGUGCUAAGCGCGUCGUUGUUGACAUAAAGUUUCUAUAUACAAAGCUAUGUAUCUCUACCCUUGACUUCUCUUUCUCUCUUUCUACCUUUUUUAUCCUUUCUUUCUCCCAUUCACUCAAUACACUUGCAAGAACCUUCAUUUUUUUUGUAUUUAAAUUUUCUUGGCACCAUCCUUUUUUAAUUAUCAAGGCUUUGUUAUUGUGUACCUGUAUUGUGUCGUGCCUCCUUCACUUCUCAUCAUCAUUUUCAUGUCACAUCUCUACCUUGUCAAUUUUCGUUUUUCACUCAGCUUUCUUUCUUCAUUUGUCUUCACUACUCUCUUCGCUCCUUCUUCUCAAGCUCUAACUUUUGCUAUUAUUAACCAGUCUCAAAUGACCAUUGGAAAACCUAUAGCCCACUGAGAGGCAGCCAAUAUAGUAAUGCCUCUAAUGAUAAACUCCAAUGAAAUCAAAAGUUCUUCUUUGAGAUUUGGAAAAAUAUAUUAGAUAAAGCAUAAUUAGUUGAAAAAGAACCUUAAAAUUUUGUGUUAAACGACUACAAUUUCAUCGUAGAAUAUGCCAUAUUGACAGCAUAUUUUUCCUACAAAAACAUAUUAACUAAAAUAAGCUCAUAAACACGAAAAUGCACUAAGUGUUGGUUAACAUACACUACCUUGAAAUAUGAUGAAGACUUUAUUUCUCCCAACCAGACAGCAUAAUCAGGAGGUAGUUUGGGAGCAAACAGAAUUGACUUAAUUUCCACUAGCAAUAUCCUAUAAAAAUUUCAAAUUCUUGAAAUAUGGAAACCAAUGGAAGUUUUAGGGAAUGAAGUAUAACCUCUAAAUACAGAAGGACGACAUAAAGGGGAAUGAAGACUCGAAAGAAGGACGACGUUUUCGUAGAGAAGGACGACAAUUUUGAGGGACAACGGACACGAUUUCAGAGUAUUAGGGAUGGUAGAUGGCGAAAGUCUUAGGGAUCUCGUACUCAGUGGAUGGUGAACGACUGAAAGCGAAGGACCUAGUACGCAUUUUUGGAGAGGGCGUGUGAACGCGGAUGGACGGACGGUGAACACGGCAGAAGUGAGAGAUCCUCAUAGAGAACUUGGCAUUUUCGAAUGCGGUAGAGACAAGUCUAGGGCUUCGAAGGAUUCAACCCAAUAUUUUCUUUAUAUAUAUAUAUAUAUAUAUAAUAUAUAUUUAAUAACACUUGACGUUUUUAAAACGUAAAGAAAAACGAUUUUACUUGACGUCUAAAAAACAUCAAGAAAUUUAAAAAAUAACUCUUCUCCGGCUUUUUAUAAAAAUUCUUGACGUUUUAAAACAUAAAGAAUUUUUAAGAUAUUUCUUGACGUUUUUAAAAUGUCAAGUAAAAGUACAUAUUACUUGACGUUUGAAAAUUUUGAAGAAUGUUGAAUAUAUAAACAUUCUUGACGUUUUUAAAACGUCAAGAAAAAAUACAUAUUAGUUGAUGUUUAAUAAACGUCAAGAAAUCUGAAAAUUGACCUACCCUCGCCUUUUCUAAAAAUUCUUGACGUUUUAUCUUUGGAACUACCCCUUUCUUGACGUUUUUUGAAAAAAAAUGUCAAGAAAGAAAAACAACAAACGUCAAGAAAGGCCUUUUUUGUAGUAAUGACAUACAAUAUAUAUAUAUACAUAAAUAAAUAAAUAAAUAUAUAUAUAUAUAUAAUGAAUUAAAAUGGUUUUGUUGCUUUACUGUUUUACUCUAUAAAGGAAGAGCAUUAUAAAUAUAUUAUUGAGGAAACAUCUUUCGAAAUGACUGGUUUUGGAAGUGUCAUUAGAUUUUUAGUUAGUUAAGCACAUUUUCCUCCCAAAUAGUAGUCGAAAUACAACUGUUUUUUAAGAAGAAGAAACCGAAUCCUUCAAACUAGGAUAAAAGUCAUUAUCUAUUAACAUAGAGUUAAAGUUACAAGGUUGAAGGCUAGAGGGAAGCCUGAAACAACCUAAUCUAACAAAGCUUAAAGUUAAGAGUUGGUAGUAACAUCAUAUUAGUUACAAGAUGAAUGACGCCUAGACCAAACUUCGAUCAAGUUACAUGUGUCUUCCCACAAGUUAACAAUAAACCUUGAUUUAUCCUUAAAAAUUCUAUUGUUUCUUUCUAUCCAAACAAUCCAAAGUAAGCCAGUUAUGGAGGAGGAAUACACAUUAGAGAGCUCAAUUAUGGAUGGAGGAAUACACAACUUUUUCUCGUGGUCAUUUUCCUCGUGGGCAUUCUCUUCAUGUUUCUUCUUAUUCCGACUAAAAUACAAGCACAAAUUAUUCUUCGCCUUCGUAUAGGUUUGUUUGAAGAAGAUUAAAAAAGUCCUUAAUUUAUCUCGACACUUCCAAAACCAGAAUAUAAUACCCGUGCUACAUAAAUCCCUCUUUCCAAAUAGUCGAACAUGAACUAUCCAUGCAUAUCUUGGAAUAAACAAGAGAAACCCUAACUAAACGCAAAUAGAAAAUACGUUGCAAUCUAAAAUAUAGUUAAAGAAACAAAAAGAAGUUUUAAUGUUGUGGGUUUUUUACUGAUCUUCUUCAACAACAAAAUAACUCAACGCCACAGUUCAAUUUUUCCUUCCACGAAUUGGGUUUUUAAAGAGUUUUCACCGCGAAUAAAUUUUUUUUGGUUCGACAAGUAACAACAUGUGAAUCCCCAAAUGCAAGGUUUUAUUAAAAAUUAAAAAUAUAAUUUUUUAAAAAAAUUAUAAUACCUAAAAAUAUAUUUUUUUUAUAUUUAUAACCUAAUUUUCUGUCAUUGCAUACUUGAGAGAAAUAUAUUUUUCAAUUAGCAUAAUAACCUUUAUAUAGUAAAUUAAAUUUGUAGAAUGAGAAAAGACCUUAGAUCCAAAAAAGUUAUUUAUUUAUUAUUGGAGUGAAUUGUAUAAUUAAUGUAGUUAAUGGAUGGUUUUGUAACCAUAAAAAAAUAAUGAAAAUAAUUUUCUAAAAGAAUGAAUGAAAAUUUGGAAAGUUAAAAGGUUUUAGGAAUUAAAAAAAAGGGUGUAACAUUAUAAAAGACUACCAAAUAUACUGUAAGAGACAUGCAUUAAAGGAGCUGAGUGUCACGUGUGAAAUUUUGACCCCAAAAAUCACCCCCAAAAUUGCGCUAAUUCAUGCCACGACUCCUUCAGCAAGGCCCAGGAGCAGCCCAACGUGGUCCUAAGACAGCCUAAGGGCGACCACGACAUGUGCCUACGGCAUUGGCAUGCACCUCUCGAGGACAGCUCACAAGCCCCGCACGCGUGCCACGACGAGUGCCCAUGACAGCCGAGUGUCAGCCCACGACACAGCCCCAUAGCACGCCAGAUGCCCGUUGACACGGCCAUAGGCGCCCGGCACCAGCGCCCACCAUCGACCCAGCGCGCGCCGUGUCCGCCCAACGUCCAGACGGCCCCAGAACCUCCGAGAAGCUUCCAGAAGAAUCGGGAAGGCGCGCAACACUUCGCGUGGCGCGCACGGCGCGAACCCAACGCGCGCGCCGACGCCCCCAGAUGCUUCCAGAAGGCUCCACACAUGCCCAUGUGUGUGCUGCCCGCCCAUGCUCAGUCUAGACAACCCCAGAAGCCUCUAGAACGUUCGAGACAGUGCCAGAAUGUGCUGGAAUGCGCGGAGGCUCCCGAGAAGGCCCCGGAACGUGCUGGAUGAUGCUGGAACGUGCUGGAACACUCUAGAAGGCUAUAUGACGGUCAGCGAGUGUCAUGAAAGGUCUAGUCCUCUCUAGAAUGUUCUAGGCUUCCUUGUUAUGUACCAAAUGAACUUGUAAUCUCUAGAAUCUCCCUUGGCCGACCUUCUAAGGCCCAAGGUCGGUGGGGAUGGUCUAUAAAUACUUGGGAGGGCCUCAUUUGUAUCAAGCCUUGCAACCUUGCAUCUUGGCAUGUCUUAGCCAAGCAAGGUCACCUUGCCACCCAAAGUCUCCUUGCCCAUGGUAUCCCCAUGACAAGAAGACAGCAUAUUUGUACCCAAAUAUGUAUUCAUCUAUUGUUGGAAUGCAAUGUAUCAUUCCAAAGACGUAUCCAUCCAAACUCCCUCAUCCUUCCAACCUCUCUCAUGUCUUGCAACCAACCUUAGUACUUCCGCUGCAACCGUUGUCGUAGUGCUUGGCACACUACCCCUUCCGGGAAAGGCUUACUUGGCUACGUGGGCAUUGUAGUUAGCCAAGUGCCGCAUGUAUGGUUAGCUUCAAGAUCCUAACCACGUGACAUGAGGCAUGCAUACUACCAAAUAUACUAUAAAUAAACCAUAAUUCUUUUUUAAGAAAUUAAACAACUAAUUAAAUAUAAAGAAGAAAGAUUAGAAAAUGAAUGAUCAAACAAACUAUGACUCAUUUAUUUUUGACAGGUUCGGCCAGUAUCACCUGACAAUUCAUUUUCACCAAGAGAAUAAACAUGAGUAGCCUUGGAAUCAAGUUCCUCCGAUAAAAGCCACGGAGUUGAUGGGUUAGAGACAGAACCAGAAUUUGAGUUCAACGAUGUGGAUGGAAAAUUCUGAAACUAGGAGCAACAGGAAGUUAAGACAACGAAUUAUUUUCAAUAUAGAAAGGCUAAUUGUAAGAAGUUGUUAAUGAAGUGUCCAAAUGCAUUAUGGUAAUAUUGGGUGCAGAAUGUUUGGAAGUUUUAUCCGUGUGCUGUGAAGCACCACAGAGUUGAAGCAUAUGAAACCAGUGUUUAUCUGACAAAAAAUAGUGUCAUGAUCAUUGCCUUUCCAUUCCAUAAAUUUAUGGAUAGCAGAAGAAAGAGAACUCUCAACACUUGAAUCACCAUAUAGCACUCUACAUCCAGGUGGUGCCUUGAUUUUUGAAGAUUUAGUUAAAAGCAGUGAUAAAAUUGGUACAUAAAUUACAGUGCAUUUCUCGAUAUGCAACAACAUUAAGAGCAACUUAAAGACAACAUCAUCAAGAAAUCUAGUAUUUAAAAUGUACAAAGAGCAGUAGUAAACAUAUGUAUUUUAUGGCUGACUUUAUCCAUAAUAAAUGUUGGAUUAAAUCAUCAAAAUAAAACACAAACAGAUAAUUAUCGAGUUUUUCAAUGGAGGAUAGAGAGGAAGACAUGCAUGCACAACUACUAGAUCUAUAUGGUGCCAGACUGCCAGUAAAAAUUUAAAGACACACAUGACAACAUUAUUUUGGAUGAAGUUCUAAUAUUGCAACCAUGGAGGAAAAAUCAGCAAAUCUUAAAUAGAUGUAGUAGUCCAAAUGAUAAAAGUUUGUCUCAAGAUAAUAUUUCAGUAACUGCAGAUGCAUUGUGUUGAACCUAACCUCUUGUGUUUCACGGUAAUGAACAAGGACAAUGUGUUCAAAGGUCCUGAACAAAAAGCAGAAGCAAGUCAUAAAUUAUAUAAGUAGAACACGAUAUACUGCCACUUCUAAUUUCAUUUUUCUUUGCUUGUGGCAUGAUGGGGAUAGACCCCACUGAAACAACUGGUAGCAAGCAAUUUAACAAUUUUCUUUCAACCAUAACAUACUUAUCUAGGAGCCAAUAACACCGGCGAACAAAGGUUGGGCUAUCUAGUCCAUGGGCAUAGUAUACAUGUAUCCUUUCUACAUUACCAACCUGCCGAAGAGAAAGAAAAGAUUAUCAAAGCACACCUUUUCUUGGUUAUUAAGGCUGUAAAAGAAUGAAAAUUACCAUAAAUCUAAACACAGUUAAUAUUAGACCAUUGAACAACCUAUAGAUUCAAAAGGAAAGACUCAAACCACCAAUAGACUGGUUAAUCAUUUAAAAUGAUCUCCAACAACAUGAUACGCAGUAUAUCGUGCUAGAUCCAUAAUUACCACAUGUGGACUCCUAUGGUAAUUUCAUUGAUGAUACGCAGCUAGUAGGCAAGAUUAUGAAAUGAAGACGGUAUGUGAGAAGAUUGAAAAGAUCAACAUGAUAAAAUUAUAGGGAUUUGAAUUUAUAUCUUAAGAACACCAGAGUCAAAUGCUUAAGCUGAUUAACUGUGUUAAAUUUAACUCUAUAAUAUAUUUUAAAUCUGAACAGUCAUUAAACAACUACAUUUUGAAUAAGCUUUAGAGAAUAUUAGCAAAAACAGUAGAAAUUACUUCAAAUUUGUAGAGAGAACAUAUAAAUUAUAUUCUACAGAAACACGAGCCCAUAGCAUGUCUACUGAGUAGCAAUGACAGUGAAAAAGGGAAUAGUAAGUAACUAAUCUCAUAAACCCCUUUCUCACAUCUAACCAAGUUCUUUCAUGACAUGCAAAAGCAUCAAAAUAUUUAAGAAAACUUCCAAUAUUGCAUUUGGAACUCAUUGAUUGACUUCAACGUUUAAGAGUCAUAAAAGACACAACUUACUUUCUCACCUGUCACCACUAAGCCUACGGCAACAUCUUUUUAUAAGAUAUUCAGCUAAUCUUUAGAUUGUUUACCGAAUAAUCGUCUAUUGUUUUGUAAUUGAUCCCACCAAGCGCUUGCGCCACCUUGAAGUUUGAGAGCAACUAAUCGAACCUUCUUGUGUUCGUGGUGUAUUGGCAUAGUCGAAAAAAUUUCUACGUUCUUGAUCCAAUCAAGAAACUUCUCCACGUCCAUUCGACCAUUGAAGGUAGGGAGAUCCACUUUCAUACGUAUUUCUUGAUCUUCUUGAAAGUAUGGUCGAAGUCCAAGCCUUUGUUGAGGUUCUUGAUGAAUGUUCAGCAAGUUGUCUUCAUCGGAAGAGUCAGAAUCAUUUAAGAAAUUUCAGGUACGUUGUUUCCAUACAAUCGAUUAUUGUGGAUGUGAAUAGGUUGAUUUCUUAGUAGUUCUUAGUUUACAACAGGGUUUAUUGGUCUUUCUUGUCUUUCUUGGUUUGCUGCAAUUGGGUUUCUUGGGGCUGAAUUGCUUCUUCUAAAGGUUGGACAUGAAAUCGGGUAAAAAGGUUUGUUAAUUCUACUAACGAUUGCUGUAUAUCUGACUGCCCUUUUCGAAGUUCUUCAAUAGCUUGUUCUACCAACUGCAAGCGUUGGUUGAAGGAGGCUUCCGCGUCCAUGGAUAAGAGUGGUAGGAUCCAAGUUUUUUUAGGGAAGAGUGAGCUAGGAUCACGCUCUGAUACCAAUUGAUUCAGUAAUUGCAAAGCUAGAAAUCUUUAUGUAUAAUGCCUCUUUUUUUUUAUGUCUUAUUAAUGAAAAUGAGAAGCUUUUUUAUAGGCUGGAGAUUAUAAGAGUUGUUAAACUAACUUGGGGUUGAGUUAGUUAACUUGGAGUUGAGUUAGUUAUAACUAACUCAAGAUACAAAAUUGGUAAUUCAAAUAACUAAUCCUAAACUAUAAAAAUGGUAAUUCAAACCCCUCCUCUAGGAUAAAACUCAAGAAACAUCAAGAAGGGAGAUGUUCUACAUCAAAGUGUAGAGAACGAUUCAAAAUCCUUGGUGAAAGAAAUGAAUGUUAACUAAUGUGUGUUUAUGUGAAAUUGUUCAAUGAGUAUGUUAAGGAUAAAGAAAGGUUUAUGCGAGAUAAAAUUAUUUGAUGUUGUUUAUGCGAAAUGAUGUUUAUGAAAAGGUAUUGCGAAAAGGAUUUCAUAAAACCUUAGUCUUUUAGACAUUCUUUCAAAAAUUCAUCUUCCAAGAUGAGGUGUUUAGGCCAAGUAGAGAAGAAGGUUGAAGGAUUUGCAGCGAGAUGACCAGACGUUUUGAAAAUAGUUAAGCAUUGGUUGUUUGGUCAAAGUGUUGUAAUUAUGUAUCAAACACAUGUUAUUAAUAAACAUCUUGGUAGGUAUUUAUUAUACUUGCACGCCUACUCUCACAUUUAGCCAUAUGUUGUACUUUGUUUUCCACCUUGACUUUUAAUGACACACAAACCAACUUUCCAAGGAAUUCCCUUUCAUUUUCCUAUUAACUCAUAUUCUCUUUUUUUAUCAAGUCCUUGAUAGAGAAAGUGGACUUUGAGUUGUUGGACUUUAGUAUUGCAUGGACAUACAAUUUUGAAUGAAAAAUCCUUAUAAAUGGGGCCUUUUAACUCAUUUGAUGGGUUGGCUAUUGAAUUUGGGCUUUCAUACCAAAUGGAAUUUUUUUUCUUAUUUACUUAAAGAAAAAAAAAAAAAAUUUACCACGCCCAUUUUUUUUCAUCUAUUUCUUUCGUCCGGUUCUUUCAUCCAACGAGUCCCACAACUCGAUUAUGAGUCUAGAAGUACUAAGUCAAACUUAGUGGUUGUUCGAAUAAAACGCAACUUCAAAUGUAAGUAUUCUAAAAACCUUAUUUUUUGGUUUAGUCUCGUUAAUUAAGCCCAAUUAGGGUAGAAUUUCGAUUCUUUUUCUGUUGUGCAUGUCUUAGUUCUAUCAGUAACUCCCUUCAGGGUGAUAACUCUCAUCAGCAGACUUUCCAUUACUGGUUUCUUCCUUAGUCAUCAUUAUAUUGUUGUUUUCCACAAUAGAUAGGGUGAGUUGCAGUUUUACAUGAAAUGCUCUGCUCACCCACACUCUUUUCUCACUAGUUCCUUAUUCUCAAUCUUCAACGCAAAUUUCAUCAUCUGGGCCAACCCAAUCGGUUCCACAGUUUCCACUUCCAUUUUUAUUCAUGGGCUAAGCCCAAUCAUCAAAGUCUCCUCUAACACUACCGUUUGAAGAAAUGCUACUAGAGCUAAAUAUCGAUCAAAUCGGUUGCGGUAUUCUUCUAAUCAUUUUCUGUUUGAUUGAGAAAAAUCUUCCAACCAAAGUUCCUUCUCGAAUUGAUCGAAACUGUACAAGCAUUCGUUCUUUCAGGUCAGCCCAAUUCUUAAAAACUUCCAACUCUUCUUGUGCUUGGUACCAAUCCAAUGCCAGAUCAUCAAAACUAAUAACGCUGUGGUUAAUUUCUCUGAAUCAGUAAGAUCAUGUAUCUUAAAGAAGCGAUAGGCUCUAAAUUGAGACCCAUUUCUAAUUUGAGUAAUGAAGUAAAUUUGGCUAGGUAUUAAGAAUUUGGCGUUUGAAUAAAUCCACGAAAAGGAUUAAGCGAUAAAAAAAUUUAUGGUUAAGUAUACGUUAUUGCGAUUCAGUGGGUAGUUCGCGAAGGAAGUUGUGCGACCCAUUUCUAAUUCGAGUAAGGAAGUAAAAUUCGGCUAAGAAUUAAGAAGUUGGUGUUCAAAUAAAUCCAUGGAAAGAUUAAGUGAUAAGAUCUUUUACGGUUAAGUAUACUUUUUUGCGAUAAGUGGUAGUUCGCGAAAGAAGUUGUGCGAUAAGAAGCGAAAAAGUCUUUGCGUAAGUUAGAAAUGAAAGUUUUGAGUGUUAGACUAGGAGUUUUGGGUGGUCUUCGCGAGAAGAACCAAGUGUUUCGUGGAGAAGAAGUCUACGAGGAAGCCUUGGAGUUUAAGUUCGUGAUAAGAGUUUUAUGCGAGUAAAAGUUGGUUAGUUCAUGUGGAACGUUUCUUAUAAUAAAAAUAUAAUCAAGCGAUAAGGUUAUUCACGAGAAAUGUUAAGUGGUUGAAUUUAUUCACGGUUUGGGUUAGGCGGGAGCAAGGUUUGUAAAGAAAAUGUCAAAUCUGAUUUGACAUGGGUUAACAUGUAAGAUUAAGGAUUUGAGCAUGACUAGGUUAAAUAUUAAGGAUUUGCAUGACUAAGUUAGUAUAAGGGAUCUAUAAAAUAGGAGAAUUUAGGUAACUAAGGAGGGGAUGACGAGAGUUUUGUUGAAAUGCUAAAGUGUUGUUGGUUUAGCCACGAAAAGAUGGUUGUGAGAAGGACUUCUUUAGUAAAUUUUGGUGAGUGCUUUUCAGUCAAAAGAAUUUAUGUUAAGAAACUUUAUUACGAUUUCUCUUUACUGAUUGAAAGAAGAAUUCAGAUGAGAAUGUUUCAGAAAGAUUUCUAUGAAAAGUUAUGUUCAAGCAUUAUUAUAAUGUUAAAGCUUGAUUUGAUGACUAUGAUUUCAAUAUUAUGUUUCUUUGAGAUGAUGCUAACUUUUGUGUGCACAUAAAGAGUGAAGGCACUAUGGAGUGUACGAACUACAUGGUAAUAAGAAGCUGACUUAUGCAUUGAAAUGAGCGUAUAAAGCUUAGCGGAUGACAACAAAGACGAAUUUGUAUGUUCUCAGAUGUUGAUACAGUAGUCUAAACGCGAGGUAAUGACACCAGCGUAGAGAAUGAUUCGGGAUCCUUGACAAAUGAAAUGAUUUUUUAAGCAUAAAGAAAGGUUUAUUCGAAAUGAAAUAAUUUUUCGGUAUAUUUAAAUGAUUUGAUAUUAUUUUACAAAAUGAUUAUGAAAAGGUAUUGUGAAAGGUUUUCAUAAAACCUUAAAGGAUUUAAAAAAAAAGUGGACCAUUCAACUUAAUUCCCAUCCACUAUCCUCUUGUCCAACAUGAAACUUUAUCUUAGUAAAACUUCUUGAUCCACUAUUUUACAAAAAUAUUCAAAACAAUACCAUACUACACCAAAUGUGAUAUUUUGGUAACACUAUAAAAUGGUCAGAAAUACCAUUUUCCUGACUUUUUUUUCAUCGACCAUUAAAGAAAAAGUAUAGAUGAUGUUUCAAAAACUUCCAAACCAUUGUGUUAGUUAUCGUUUUAGAUGAGGGUUGGGGUAGAGCAUCAAUACUAAAGGUUGUUAAGGAUUAAGAACUAAGACUUGAAAACAAAACCGCCUGCCUGGUUGACAACAACACCAUCCCACUAGAGUGCACAAUGAUUAUUAUUGCAUUAAGAAGAAGAUGGCAGUUAACCUUAGCGCCAUAAUCAGAACCUCAAUCCUCCCUUUGAUGAAAGCACCUAAAGGUGUCAUGCCUUUCCCCUCUACCACAUUGAAGCUCUUUGUCUAACACUACAAGAAAUGAGGGCUCUCUCGAUGCAUAAAAUCAUUGGGAGAUAUAUAAAAAGCAUCAGAAAAGGCUUUUCUGACAUACUAAUAUACGUUGGAACACAAGUCAGGAAAAAAUGUAUCGGGAGAGGAACUCCCGAUGCACAAUGUUGUGCGUCGAGAGUUUCUAGACAUCUUCUGACGUUGUAUGAACGUCGAAGAUGUUGUCAAUAUAGCAUCGAGAGAUGUCUAGGAACCAUGCGUCGGGAGAUCCUCUAUUUUUUAUUAAAAAAAAUAACUUCAAUUAAUUCCUAAAUUCAAAUUGAAAACUCUAAAUUCAAACUCAACUUCAACACUUCAACCUCAACUUCAACACUUCAAAUUCAAAUUUCUAAAACCUACAACUAAUUCAAAAUUCUAACAACACUUGAAAUUAAAUUUCAACACUAAAACUUACAACUAAUUCAAAAUCUAAAUACUAAAACUAAUUUGAAAUCUAAAAUCUAACACCUAAAACAAAUUUGAAAUCUAAAUACUAAAACUAAUUAACUAAAACAAAACAAUAACUAACUAAACCACUUACCGAUGGCGGCGACGACAGGACGACAACAGGGACGACAAUGGAGAUGACAAUGCCCUCUUCUUCUUUAUCUUCCUCUCGGUCUCCCUCUCCCUCUCUCAUUUUUUUCUCUUUAUGUUUCAUUUAUAUAAAGAAUGGAGUUAAAAAAGGCAGAGAACUCCUGACGCACAACGAAAACGAAUUGGUUCCACAAACCAAUCUCAUCACAGAGGUACUCUUUGCAAUUUAAGCUCUAUUUGCAAUGGACAGUCUUCAAAGUUUUUUUUAACGAUGUUUCCAAUGCUUUCCUUUCUCUCUCAUGUUUAAUAAAACAAAUUUCUCUUAAAACCUGUAGGGAGGCUACAUCGUAUCGAAUUUCAUACAACUGACGUGUUCAUCGAGUUACAACAAGUGCCGCACAAUAGUCUGUUCCAUUUUGAAAAGUUGUGAGUGUGACACGCUCACAUGAGGUUAGAACGAGACAUGGCAAGGCAAGCCCUACGCGCGCCUGCAACUUCUGCCACAAUAUUUUGUAAGCAAGCUGAUGUCUUUAGGCUGUUUUUGUGGUUUUUGGAAAUUUUAAGCAAAGUUUUGAUAUUUUUAUGAUCAACGGGAAUUAAAUGGAAUUAUUUCCCAUUAUUUUUCAUUAUUUUAGAUUUGAAGGAGAUCGACCAAGUUUAUAAGCCAAGGGUCCAAGCUACUCUCUAUAAGUGACAAAAAUGAGUUUAAAGUUGAUUUCUAUACAUGAAUUUACUAUCAAAUGUUUCAAGCAUGCUUUGAUGUUUGAAUAUUUGAGGAUACUGACUAUAAAGUAUUUCCAAAGCAUGAAUUUAGAAACAUUUUGGUAAACAUGUUUUUAUUCAUGAAUUUACUAAUGAAAAUUAUAAGCAAUCAUGAUUGUGCUAAGUUUUCAGAAUGUUUAAGCUUGAAAAUAAUAUUAGCAUGUUUUAGUCUAUACCUAAAAUAUUCUAAGAUAUAUAGCAACCCUUCGCGGAGAGAUUUUCUUGUGCAUAGAGGUCAUUUGAUUUGGAUAUUCAGUAAAUACCUAGCUUUCCAUCAUUGGUAUUAGAUAAGAGAUGAAGACUUCUAAAGAUGCUUAGUUUCCCAUCUCAGGGACGAGAGCUUGUACGAAUGCCUAGUUUUCCAUCUCAUUGUAGUUAUAACGAGAUAGGGCACAAUUGAUGCCUAGAGUUUCAUCUCGUAAGUAUCGUAUCACGGGAUAGGGCUUCUAUGCCUAGUUUAUUGUUUUUCGUCUCGACGAUUAUAGGUAUAACAGAGAUUUGGUUUGAGGUGCUUCUUAAGUCUUUAAUAUUUAUGUUUGUUUUGAUCCUAGGAAUUGAGCAUGUAAUGUAAAAAGUCUAUGCACAAGGGGUCAUAUGGCCAUCUCCGUGUUUCUUUAAUUAUCAAAUUUGUUCAAGUUUUUAAUUGUCUCUAGAUCAAAAUCUGGAGUUAUUUUUUGUGAUUUGGUGUACAAAUACAUACAUCCAUGUUUCUAAUUAUGAUUAGAUUGUUUUCUGCUCGCAACAUUUUAUUGUUUAGCUUGUCUUUGAUCUUGAACUUACUAUUAUGUUGAUUUAAAUUCCAUUUUAGCCUUAGAACUUUCAAAACAUCCAUUUUAGUCAUCGAGCUUCCAAAACGUAGCCAACUAAGUUUUAGUAUUUUGUAAAUUAUUUUAUCAAUUAAUAUUCAUUUAUCCAAUACUCAUCGGUCAUUUCUGCUAUAUGUGAUUGGAAUAUAUCUCAUAGGAAGCAUUUUGAAAGUUGGGAAAAGAUGGAAAAUUUUAGGGACUAGAACAAGAAUUUGUUUAAUAUUUUUUGAUAGGGUGAAUUCUUGCAAUUUCCUUGUCGUAUAUACAUAAUUUUUUCUCUCAUUUGGCAAAUUCAUUAUGCUUGAAAAUUUAGGUGAUUCAUGAGCUAGAUAAAGUAAACAACGUAUGGAAGAUGAUCUUUGUGGCUUGUGAGGAAGACGUGGAGGAAGCCUUGGUGGCCGUAGAAAAAGGGAUAUGGACUUUCAACGUUGAAUGGUUAAUGGCAUGUAUAAUGAGACAAGAAGUAGACUUGGAGGCCCUUAAUUUGCUGAGUCCCUAUGAGAAACAAGGUCACCCUAACUUUCAGUUUUGAACAAGCAGCAGCCAGCCAUUUCGUCCUUGUGUAAAUCCACUCUUUUCUCAACUCACUCUAAUUUGGUACAUAAACAAACUCUGAUCGCUCCAUCUCUAUAUUCAUCAGUACAUAAAAGACGAUAAGUUUAUUCAUGGAGAAAGUUGGAUGUAAGUAUGUUUUAGGAAUGGUCCUUCAUUUAGUAACUUUGGGAAUUGUAAAAAUGAGGUAAUGAAGUUCUAUCAAGUUGAAUGUUCUUGUUUAUGUUAGAUGAGACUGAUUCUUGGAUACCAGAAUUAACUUGAAGUACGUGUUUGAGUUCCAUUGGAGUGAUUAGAGAAAAGAUGUUCCUUUAAAAACGGUAAUUUUUUUAUGUAGACUUUCUUUUUAUUAAAAUUGCUUAAAAUACAAUUUGAGAGUAUUUCAAUAGCUUUCAAAGAGUUGUCAAACACUUGUAGUUUUUCUAAAAUAACAUAUUUUCAAAAUUAAUUACUGUAAUAGUUAAACAAAAGAUUCUUUCCCUUCGAAAUUUUAAAGUUUGUCUAGUUACCUCUUAAACCUUUCAAUUGUUUAAUAGGUCUUUCAAUUUUAUGUUUUAAGUGUCAUAAAUUUUGAUUUUUUUUUAUUUGUUAGAUAUAAAUCUGAAGAAAUGAAUAAAGUAGAUUUGUAAGUUUAAAAUAGUUUAAAAGUUGAGAAAUUAAAUUUGUAGUUUAAAAGUUGGAGUAAAUAGUUUGUGUUAAGUCGGGUUGUGAUAUUUUAUUUAUUUAUUUUAAUAAUAGAAGAGAGGGAGACGAAAACUGCAGACUGAAGGGAGAAGAAGCGGUGGCUGACUUUGUAUAUUUCUCCUUUCUUUUCAAUUUGAGAAAAUUUCUUUGCAAUUCACUUUGAAAAGGAAAUGAAUAUUUCUCCCUCAGACUUAUCUCUCUCUUCUUUUCAAUUUAUUUUCAAUUUUUCUGUGUGCUUCUCACAGUGUAUGCAUAAUCUCUCUUUCAUUUUGAUAUUCAUCUCCAUUUCAAAUAUCUCCCACACAAAGAACAAAGAAAUGAGUAAAGUAACUGAGAGAGCAUUUUGUUUUUCCCUUCAUAUGGUUGGUUACUUUUUGUCAAUUAAAUGAAAAGUGAAGAAUAAGAUAAGAUUUUCUUUACCCAUUUGCCAUCAUCAUCAAAGCUAUUUACCUCAUUUUUGUUCACACACACACAACUUCAUUUUGUUGGAUUACACUCAUUUGAGAAAAUAGCAAAAUUUUAUUAGAAGAAUAGCAAACACGAGCAUUUCAUGUGUUUUGAAUUUUCAUUAACCCUAAAAUCUCCUCGCCUGCUUUUUAGUUAAACUGUAACUAAUUUUGAAAUAUGCAAAAUUUUAGCAUAAAUAUUGAUUUUCUCCUACAUUAUCUUAACACACUUUUUUUCCUCCAAAUAUUGGAUUUAUAUCAAAUCUUUAUUUUCAAAUUUUACUUUAUCCAAAUUUUCAUUUUUCAAAAUUUCAUCGUUAUUCUACUUUUAUUUUUGUAUUUCAUAUAUAUAUAUAUAUUUAUAAUAUUUAAUCUUAUUUUUUCUCUUUUCCUAUUCAUCUUCUUCCUUUCUCUUCCUCUUCAACCUACGGCCACACCACCGUCUCUUUUCUUCCUUCUCUUUUCAUUCUCCAAUCAACUUCACCACCGUCUUCCACCUACAUCGAACGUCAAGCAAAUUUUGUCGUAUCGUCGCAUCACCGUUAGCCCGAGUCACUCCGGUUCCGUCACGCCAUGUAUGUUUAGAUUUGAAUUGUUUGGUUAUUUGUUGCACCGAUCCGUCUCCGUUAGAAUUUGAUUCUCCACAAUUUGGGUAAGUUAUGGAAUUUACAUAUAGAGUGAAUUGAAUGGAUUAAAUUGUUUGUGGAAGUGAUUGAUUUCUCUUCAAUUAUGUUUAGGUCGGUUCGUUGCACUUUAGUUUGAAAAAGAAGCUUAAGUAAGGUUAUAAGCUAAGGGAUUCUCUACUACUGGACUCACCUAUAGUUUUGAAUUGUGCUGUCUGUAUAGUUACCUCGAUUGAGUAAAGAUGUCGAAACGAUAUAUAUACGUAUGAAUGUAGACUUGAUGUUGAAUGCAUAUUGUGAUUGUCUGGGAAUAUAUAUAUAUAUAAAUAUGUAUGGAUGUAGACAGGACGACAAUUGUAGAUUGUGUUUGUAUGGAAUGUGGAUGUGUGAACUUGUGAUUGUCGUUUAGAUUGGGUGUAUGUUAUACUAAAGUAUGGUUGUGUACUGGUGAAUUGAGGGGUGUUAUGACUAUAUAGUUUGAUUGACUGAUGUAUUGAUAUGUUACUGGCGGACAUUGGGCUAAAGUGAGAUAAGUUGACUAUUAGGGUGUUCAGUGAAAGGAUUAUAUGUUGAAGUAGUUGGUUACUAUGAAUGAGUUUUAAGAUGUUUAGAAUGGAUUGAGGGGAAAAUUGUUAGAUUUCUAUUGGGUAGUUACCUUGCAGGUGUCCUACAGGAUCACCACCUGAUAUGUGCAUCCUUCGAUAGCACUAGACUGAUAUGUGCAUCCUUCGGGAGCAUUAGACUGAUAUGUGUUUCUGCGGAACACUAGACUGAUUUAUGCGUCCUUUGAGGCGUUAGACUGAUUAUGUGUAUCCUACGGAUCACAAGACUGUGACUGUGCAGGGUACCCCAAUAGGAAGUUAACAGUUUCUUUUUCCCCUAACGGGACGAAUAACGGGUCUCUUAUUGGGUAUGUUUAUACUCAUCCUUUCAUGUUUAACUAUUUUAGGCAAAGGUAACAAAUGAGGUAGACUGACGAGGGACAAGAAGGAGACGUGAUUGCCAUAAGGGAAUGUCCUUCAAAUGCUUCUGCUUUAUGUUUCUUGUUUUCCUUUGUACAUGAGGUUGUUUAAAAAUUUUGUGAUGGAACUGAGUUUACGAACUGUUGUUUUGUGAAUAGUACUUUAAAGUUUGGAUAUUUGAAAUAGGGCCCGAACUUAAGUUUGUUUUCUUUGAUCGUAUGAUUUCAAGUGAAUUUUACUAUAUUUUGUGUCAAUCAAGGUCUCUUUGUCAAAAUUAAUGACUUCAACUUAGUUAGAAAAGUUGGGUCGUUACAACAAAUUUUAAGUAUUGAUGUAAGAAUUAUGUACUUCAUUAUAAAGGUCGAUAGCUUACAAAUAUUAACACGAUCGUGUACCGAUAACAAGACGAUUGUUUACACUAUUCAAUACGAUCACCAAUAUCAUAUGAUCGUGUACCCAUGUCAACACGAUAAUUUAUUUUAAUCAAUAUUAUCAUUUACCGUUCUUAAAUGUUCGUUUAUCACGGUUAAUAGGAUCGUUUAAUGUAUAUUAUUUCAUUGCACGAUCGUUUACUUAUUCUUGCAUUGUGUUUAGUAUUAUCAUUUUGUACAUUUUAUUCUUUUAUUCAGUAAUAAAUGUAUAUCUAUGUCUAUCUAUUUCUUUCUAUCACAAUUAAAUACUUAAUUUUAUUUUAUUUAUUUUUUUUACAGAUUAUAAUGUCUUUUCCUAUUGUUGUUUUUUACGGAGGUCAAUGGAAUGGAUGUAAUAUUUAUGAGAAUUACUUAGUUGCUGAAAUUUUGGUAGGUGUCCGAGUCAGCUUUAAUUCUCUAGUUGAUUUAAUAUGUGAACAGAUUCAAUUGGAUGGAUAAGUAGAAUUAUCUGUUUUACUUGAUUUUGGUAAAAGCAAGGUCCAACUGUGGUGCCAGUAAAGAAAGACAAUGAUGUGGCUUGGUAUUUAUCUUUUGCUAAAGAUGCAACUAAUAUACAUCCAUUAGUUGCUCAUGUAACUGUUGAUUUUUUUUAGAAGGUCUUCUUCUUCUUAGAGAACUACCUGUAGCUACCAUGCUUAGUUCAAUUAGAGAUGUAUUGCAAAAGUGGUUUGAUGAAAGAAGUAAAGCUACUUUUACAAUGAAGAGUUGUUUGACUUCUUGGGCUGAGAACGUGUUGCAUUUAGAAUAACAUGAAAAGUCAAGAAUUUUAUUGGUAAUUUUUUUUUUUUUUUUAAUGUUUGUAUCUCAGGUAGAUAUAAAUAGAUUGCUAUUUUUGUCCAUUCGAUAGAGAAAUAUAACAAUUUAUGUGUGCUUGUUUCAGAUAUAUAGAGAUAGAUAGCUAUCAAUGUCUAUUUGUCUCUAUUUGUGCAUGCUUUUUUUUUUAAUUUUUCUAUAUUUGUUUUAUGUAUUAGGUUGAUCCAAUUAGUAUGACUGAAUAGAAAGUAAUGGAUGAUACAAAAUGAUAAUGUGAUUUAUUUAUAUUGGUUCUAAUUUGAAAUAUUCAAAUUUACUUUGGAAAUUAGUAUAAUUAGUAUAAUAUAUAAUGAUACAUUAUAAUAUAAAGUUUAUAUUUAAUGAAACUUUAUUAUAUAAAUUUAAUUUUAGAUAAAGUUCAAAAUUAAUUUAUGAGAAAAUAUUUGAAUGAGUUCAAAUAUUAAUUUAAUGUGGAUUUGUUUCAUAUUAAAACUAUUAAUUAUGAGAUAAAGUUAUAUUUGAAUAUGAUUCAAAUUUAACUUAAGUUAAAUAUAAAAUAUUUAAUUUAGUUAUUAAUUAAUUGAAGAAUUAAUUAAUAGUUUAGUUUAAUAUUAUUUAAUUAAAUUUGAUUUAAUUAAAUUAAUAUAAAACUAUGGGUAUUGGAGAGAUAUUCAUUCAAUAAGAUUUAAAUGAAAUAUUAAUUAAAUAUGAUUUAAUUAAUUAUUAACUAAUUGAUUAAUGGUUAAUUAGUUAGUUGAUUUGAAACUUCUAUUAAUUUAAUAUUUUUUAAGUUAAUAGAAUCCUAUGAUUUUCUCCUACCCCGUCUCCUACUCAAUGAAAGAAAGAGAGUUAUAAAUAUGUAGAAGAAAAACAUCUUUUCUUAACCAAAAUAAAAUCGAUGAUUUUCUUUUCUGCAAAAUAGAUUGUAACGACCUAAUUUUUCGAAUUAAGCUGAAGUUAUUACUUUAAGACUAGAUUCGUCUUUAACCAUAAGACUUUAUAAUUUAAAAAAUAUAUUUUUUAACAACAUUAAAGAGUUUUUAUUCGGCUCUAUUUCAAAUAAAAUUUUGAAAGUGUAAAAGUAUCGAUAAUAAAGAAAGUUCAAGAACAUAAAAGUCGUUCAAUCAUGAAACCCAAAACAGUCUCAAUUACUAAAGAAAACCAAAAAAAAAAAAAAUAUAAAGUAAAAGCAAUUUGAAGGACAUUUCCCUAUGGCAGUUUCGCGGAAAAAGAUUAAACAUAAAAGGGUGAGUAUAAACAUACCCAGUAAGGGACCCACUACUGAUCCUGUUUAGAAGAAAAAUAAAAUUGUUAACUUCCUAUUGGAGGUGCCCUGCACUUUAAAAGUCUUGUGAUCAUGUAGGAAUACACAUAAGCAGUCCAAUGCCCUAAAGGACACAAAUACUAGUCUAGUGCUCUGCAGAAAGCACAUGUCAGUCUAGUGCUCUCGAAGAAUGCACAUGUCAGUCUAUUGCUCUCGAAGAAUGCACAUGUCAUUCUAGUGCUCUCGAAGAAUGCACAACAGGUGGUGAUCCUGUAGGACACCUGCAAGGCACACUACCCAAUCGACAAAGCUAACAAUUUUCCCUUAGUCCAUUAUAAACAUUUAAUCAAUCCAUUCCUAGUAUAGUCAAACUACUCCAUCAUAUCAUCAAUCCAACUUAACACACUUACGUUCAAUCUAUUCAAUCUAUCACAAAAUCAGUUGAUACUAUAACAACACACCAGACAGUCAAGAUAUAUAUAUAUAUACAUAACACCUUUCUCAGUUUACAAAUACAUUAUCCAUCGUAUCUACUUCUAUACCAGUAAGUUUACAAACACUAACUGUUGAGUUUCUACAGUAGAUUCUUGAAGAUGUGACUCUUGAACAGAUGGAUUCUCAUGGAUGAUCACAUGUUUGUUAUUUUGAUGGUCAUCAUUCUUGUCUAGAUUGUGAUGACUAGAAUCAUCACGAAGAUCAUCAUACAUGUUGUUAAUAUCAUCAAACAAUUGAUUCUGAUUCUAGUAUAGAAAGAAAAAAGGAUAAUAAAAAAAUAGUUACAAAAUGAUCGUGUAUCCUUAAGCAAACAAUCGUGUAGAAUAUCUAAACGGUUGUUUUACCAAGGGUGAUCGAUAUUUUAGAUGGGAUAUGCGAUCGUUCAUAUGUGAUAUGUGAUCGUGUAAAGAUAUAUCAAACCUUUGUUCUGUCAGAAGUCGUGCUAAGAAGAGUUGAAAGCUUGUAAUAAGAUCCAUCAAAACUGAAAGAUUUUACAUCAACACGUUCCUGACACAGUAAUGCAGUAUCAAUGAGCAUCAAAUUACGUGAGAUACGUAUUAGAAAAUAUCUAACUGCUCAGUUAAUUUUUUAUGGACAUCAAAUCACCUUUUUUCAAGCUUAAGGAAGGAAAUGUCGACACUAUAUAUGUCAGAGUUGUGCAUUGCAAUGGAAGUGCCAACACGAGGUGAUACAUGUGUGUCUGGGAUGUAAAUGCCACUCCCCGACUAGGACCAACAUAGACUUAGGGAGAAAGCAUGCUAGGAAUUGGAGUUGUGUCCUCAAUUUCUUCAAGGGACUUGAGCAUUUCUUCUUACACUAGAAUGUCUCCUGUUCAGAGAGUUUAUAGGAUUUCUCAAGGCCAUUUUUGCAUACUUAACAGCUCUUGACAACGGUAGAGAGUCUAACUCUACACUUUCAAGGGGUUCCAACUCCACCACUCGCUGAGCCAAAGAUAGAGACGAAUCAUUAAUGAUCCAGUAAGCAACAUGAAACCUUGUAAUUUUGGGGUUAACGGUAGUCCCUCCCAUUACUAGCUCAACACUUAAACGGAGUCUCCUCUAUAAAAUAUAAAAUAAUACAGACACAAAUAGUGAAUGAAAUCUUGUGACGUAACAAACACAAAUUUUAGGUAUACUGCAAUUUGACUAAAUAUUGAACAAGAAAACCCAAGGGAAUACACAAAAAUCCAACGUUUUUAGGGGUCAAUUUGGAAAAUGGCAAAACUACUUUUUCUUUUCAAUUUUAGCAAACAACAUUUUUUGCGCGUGCAUGGUAUUUUAUAAAAUACCAAAAUAUUCAACUUCUCCAACUAUAAUUAUUUUGUUUUUACGUUAUAAUUAAUUUAUGUUAUGUAUUUAUCAACUUUUAAUUAAUUUUUACUUGAAAUAGAUACAUUAACUCAUAUCAUAACUUUUCUCUUAAAAUCUCAGGACUCAAUUAAUUAAUUCAAUAUUUUAAUAACAUUAUUCAAUCUUAUUAAUUUCAAAAUAAUCUAAUUGAAUUUGAAUUUCAAAAUAACCAAAUUGAAUUUCAAAAUUACAAAAUUAUUAUUUUCUAGAAUUUGAGAAUCUCAACGAUAGAUUUUAUAUUAAAAUAAACUUAUCUCAAAAUAAUUUUAAUGACUUGAAUAUCAAGAUAAUUAAAUUAUUAUUUUAAAAAUUGGAAGAAAAGCACAAAAAGCGCACACGCCCACUCACGUACACACGCACGCGCGCGUAUACGCACACACACGCACACGCACACGCACAAAAGCGCACACGUGGACACUCACACCCACGCACACGUAGACAUACACACCCACGCACACGUGGACACGCGCAUACGCACACACGUACGCACUCACGCACACGCACGCACACACGCACAUAUGCACAAAGAUGUAUAAAUGAAUUAAAAUUAAAAAAUAACUACAAUAAUUUGACUUACUAACGUUAAUUAAAUUAUAAUUUCUAUCAAUAUUGGUUUAAAAGUGUCAUUAAUGUAAUUAUUUCAAUAUAAUGCACUCUUAUCCAAUUUUACGAACAAAAAACAAGUCGAAUAUGUACCAUUAGAUGACACUCUUUGUCAUAAGAGAUAUAGCAACGUUUUUAUGGGUCAUUUUGAAAAAUGGCAAAACUACUUUUUCUUUUAAAUUUUAGCAAAUAGAAUUUUUUACACGUGUCCAUGAUAUUUUAUAAAAUACCAAAAUAUUCACCUUCUCAAACAGUAAUUAUUUCGUUUCUACGUUGUAAUUAAUUUAUGUUAUGCAUUUAUUAGCUUUUAAUUAUUUUUUACCUGAAAAAGAUACAUCCUUUUUCUUAAUAUCUCGGGACUCAACUAAUUGAUUCAAGAUUUUAAUUUUAUUCAAUCUUACUAAUUUCAAAAUAACCUAAUUAAAUUUCAAUUUCAAAAUAACAAAAUUAUUAUUUUUCGAAAUUUGAGAAUCUCAACGAUAGAUUUUGUAUCAAAAAUAACUUUAAUUGAAUUUCAAAAUUAAAAAAUAUUAACUUGUUCGCACACAAGCACACGCGCACACGUGCACAACGCACGCACACACACGCACACACACCCAUCCACACACGCACACGCACACGCACAUAUGCACACACGCACAAAGAUGUGUAAAUUAAUUAAAGUUAAAAACAAAUACAUUCAUUAUGUUCAGAAAGAGUUUUAAACCAUGUUCAUUUGACUUAAUAACAUUGAUUAAAUUAUAAUUUCUAUCAAUAUUGGCUUAAAAGUGUCAUUCGUGUAAUUAUUUCAAUAUAAUGCAGUCUUAUCCAAUUUUACGAACAAAAAACAAGUCAAAUAUGUACCAGUAGAUGACACUCUUUGUCAUAAGAGAUAUAGCAACGUUUUUAUGGGUCAUUUUGAAAAAUGGCAAAACUACUUUUUCUUUUAAAUUUUAGCAAAUAGAAUUUUUUACACGUGUCCAUGAUAUUUUAUAAAAUACCAAAAUAUAAACCUUCUCAAACAGUAAUUAUUUCGUUUCUACGUUGUAAUUAAUUUAUGUUAUGCAUUUAUUAGCUUUUAAUUAUUUUUUACCUGAAAAAGAUACAUCAACCCAUAUCAUAACUUUUUUCUUAAUAUCUCGGGACUCAACUAAUUGAUUCAAGAUUUUAAUUUUAUUCAAUCUUACUAAUUUCAAAAUAACCUAAUUAAAUUUCAAUUUCAAAAUAACAAAAUUGUUAUUUUUCAAAAUUUGAGAAUCUCAACGAUAGAUUUUGUAUCAAAAACAAUUUUAAUUGAAUUUCAAAAUUAAAAAAUAUUAACUUGUUCGCACACAAGCACACGCGCACACGUGCACAACGCACGCACACGCACGCACACACACUCAUCCACACACGCACACGCACACGCACAUAUGCACACACGCACAAAGAUGUGUAAAUUAAUUAAAGUUAAAAAAACAAAUACAUUAAUUAUGUUCAGAAAGAGUUUUAAACCAUGUUCAUUUGACUUAAUAACAUUGAUUAAAUUAUAAUUUCUAUCAAUAUUGGCUUAAAAGUGUCAUUCGUGUAAUUAUUUCAAUAUAAUGCGGUCUUAUCCAAUUUUACCAACAAAAAACAAAUCGAAUAUGGAUCAGUAGAUCUACACUCUUUGUCAUAAGAGACAUAACAACGUUUUUAGGGUCAUUUUGAAAAAUGACAAAACUACUUUUUCCUUUGAAUUUUAGCAACUAGCAUUUUUUGCACGUGCAUGGUAUUUUAUAAAAUACCAAAAUAUCAACAUUCUUCAACUGUAAUUAUUUCGUCUCUACAUUGUAAUUAAUUUAUGUUAUGCAUUUCUCAGCUUUUAAUUAUCUUUUACUUGAAAUAGAUACAUCAACUCAUAUCAUAAUAUUUUUCUUAAUAUCUCGAGACUCAACUAAUUAAUUCAACAUAUUAAUAAUUUUAUUCAAUCAUACUAAUUUCAAAAUAACCUAAUUGAAUUUGAAUUUCAAAAUAACAAAAUUGAAUUUCAAAAUAACAAAAUUGAAUUUCAAAAUAACAAAAUUGAAUUUCAAAAUAACAAAAUUAUUAUUUUUCGGAAUUUGAGAGUCUCAACGAUAGAUUUUGUAUUAAAAUAACCUUAAUUGAAUUUCAAAAUUAAAAAAUAUCAACCUGUUCACUAUCUUUAUCUCAAAAUAACAUUAAUGCCUUAAAUAUCAAGAUAAUUAAAUUAUUAUUUUAAAAUUGGAAGAAACUCAACAUUAAAAAUAUUAACUUGUCGGACACAAGCAUAGAAGCACUGCGCACACACGUACACAUGCACACUUACACACACGCGCGCACACGCACACCUACACACAGACACCCACAGACGCACGAACCCACGCACACACACAUGCACACGCGCACGCAUGCACACACACACCUAUCCACACGCACACAAGCACACACACAUGCACAAACGCACACACGUGUACGCACAAACCUUAUCUCAAAAUAGUUCCUAUUUUUGCUGACAGUUUAUUUUUUGCCAUCGAUAGAGGAUCUUCCAAUAGACCUACGUGACGGUGUGUGUUGACAGCUUAAUUUUGUUGGCAAAAGAAAAGUUGAUUAGUUUUUGAAGAUUUACUGACGAUAUUUGUCAUCGACAAAGGGUAAAUUUCUUGUAGUGCAUGUACAUCAAACAUAUCAAAUUUGUUAAGUGUACCAAUGAAGUAUAACAAGUUUAUUAGUGGUGUAUCACGUGUAUCAAACUUAUUAGUGAAGUCUUUAAGUGUAUCAAACUAAUCAAGUGUAUCAAGGCCUCAGGGGUAUCAAGUGUAUCAAGAAGAAUCAAGUGUAACGAGAAGUAUUAUGUGGAACGAGAAGUAUUAUAUGUAUGAAGAUGUUUCAAGUGUGUAUCAAAAAGUAUCGAGUGUAUCAAUGAGUACCGAGUGCAUGAAUUGUAUCUAUCAAAUGUAUCAAGUGUAUCAGUAAGAAGUAUCAAGUGUAUCAAGGGUAUUAGGUGUAUCAGACGUGUAUAAGGUGUAUCAAAUAUACAUCAAUAACGAGGGCAUUUGUGACAUUUUACCUCUUGAUGUGUGAGUUGGUCUUUGUUUUUGUCAUUUUCUCAAAUAAUAAAGUAUGUGUUCUAUGGACUUAAUUAUUAUAACUUAUUUUGCCAUUUUCGCAAGUGUCCCUUAAUUGUAAUACAUGUAUAUGUGACAUAAUCUAAUCAAACUAACUCAUAAAUGGACUUAAUGUAUCAAGAGGUAUUAGGUGUAUCAGACGUGUAUAAGGUGUAUCAAAUGUACAUCAAUAACGAGGGCAUUUGUGACAUUUUACCUCUUGAUGUGUGAGUUGGUCUUUGUUUUUGUCACUUUCUCAAAUAAUAAGGUAUGUGUUCUAUGGACUUAAAUAUUAUAACUUAUUUUGCCAUUUUUGCAAGUGUCCCUUAAUUGUAAUACAUGUAUAUGUGACAUAAUAUAAUCAAACUAACUCAUAAAUGGACUUAAUCUAUCUCAUGGACCACGAAUUCUUCAAUUACUUGCAAAUUUGGUGAGUUCCUUCAAAUGGUGGGCGGAGAGCUUAAUUUUGAGAGAGAGGAAAAGUCGUGAAGAGUAUUUGCGAGAGAGGGGGGAACGUCGCCAGAGAGCAUUUGCGAGAGAGCUAAAGACAGCGACGAUGUGGGAUGAAGUAAGGUUUUUUUCGGUCAUUGUUCACAAGUGGGAUGAAAGCUUCGAAUUAUUUGUUUUAAAUCAAAAAACGUAUGAUUGAAGGAAAACAUUGAUUUUUAUUAGGGUAAUUUUUUAAUGACACAUAAUUUAUGCCAUUAUUUACAAUGCCAAAAUUUUGUCAAGAAAACUCAAUUUGUGUCACAAAAAAAUUUGUAUUUUUAUUUUUUUAACGACACAUUUUAUUCCCUCAUAUCCCUUUUUCUUGAUUUCAAGUGUCAUUAAAACUUAUAUUUCUAAAUAAAUUUAUUCGACGAAAGUGGCUAGAUUGGUGGGUUUGACGGCGAAGGCUUGUUGUGGGAGCAACGACAACAGUGGUUGGAGUGUGGAAUCGACGACGGCAAGUGGCAAAAAAUUGGGGGCAAGGGUUCUUCAUAACGACUCGAUAGCCCACUUCGAAUUUUUUUGAAAUUUGAGGUUUUUUCAUUUGAAAAUUUUUUUAAUGACAAAAAAAUUGACGUUAAUUAAUGACGCAAAAUUUGUGUUGAAAUAAAUUAAAUUGUGUCAAUAUGAUUGUUUUAAGAAAUAAUCCAUAUUUAUAUUUUCAACAACACAAUGUACCUCAUCCCACCUCUUUUUUCUUUUAUUUUCAACGACACAAUGUCUUGAUUAAAAUCCAUUUUUCUAGUAGUGACUGAAAAAAAAACUGGACAGAAUCAUAAUAUCUUUGAUAAUUAAAUCACCAGUUGGUUUGAACAUAUAUAAUCUUGGAUCUAUUCUAUUAUGAUAUGACCAUGGUACAUCAUGAACAUACAUUGACUAAAAAACUUAAAUUGAUGAGUGAAUGUAAUAAAUUUAAUAUUAAUUAUAUGAUCAAUACUUUACACAUGUAUAUUGGUAUAUCAGUCAAUAACAGUAGUAAGACAAAUUAUAAAAUAUAAGGGAUAAAAGUCCUACACAUGCAUGUAUGGUAUACUCUCUUGAUAGCAAAAUGCAUUUAUGUCAACUCAUGUUUGAAUGCAUUUAUGUAGGAAAUUCAAUAAAAUAAUUAAGAAACCUUGCAAUAUGUGAGAGAUAUACGAACUUCAAACAAAUUUUACAAGUUUCAGCAAAAAUUUUCAAACAACUUUUAAAGUUUAAGCAAAAAGUAACCGUAGGUAGGAAGGGGAGCAAAAGUGGGGUCUCGAAUUAAUUCUGAAAAAUUAGUAGGCUUUCAAAAUUUAGGUUCUAGAAGUAGAAUUAUUGCAGAAAAAUAAAUAAUUGCAUCAUUCAAAUUGAAUCAGACAUAUCAGGAUGUAUAUAUUCUCCACAACGUAUAAUGGAGUAUAAACAUAAAGUUUCUAUAUACAAAGCUAUGUAUCUCUACCCUUGACUUCUCUUUCUCUCUUUCUACCUUUUUUAUCCUUUCUUUCUUCCAUUCACUCAAUACACUUGCAAGAACCUUCAUUUUUUUGUAUUUAAAUUUUCUUGGCACCAUCCUUUUUUUUAAUUAUCAAGGCUUUGUUAUUGUGUACCAGUAUUGUGUCGUGCCUCCUUCACUUCUCAUCAUCAUUUUCAUGUCACAUCUCUACCUUGUCAAUUUUCGUUUUUCACUCAGCUUUCUUUCUUCUUUUGUCUUCACUACUUUCUUCGCUCCUUCUUCUCAAGCUCUAACUUUUGCUAUUAUCAACCAGUCUCAAAUGACCAUUGGAAAACCUAUAGCCCACUGAGAGGCAGCCAAUAUAGUAAUGUCUCUAAUGAUAAACUCCAAUGAAAUCAAAAGUUCUUCUUUAAGAUUUGGAAAAAUAUAUUAGAUAAACCCGGACGUGGUGAACGCGGUGAACGCAGACGCACGGACGGUGAACACGGCAGAAGUUAGAGAUCCUCAGAGAGAACUUGGCAUUUUCGAAUGCGGUAGAGACAAGUCUAGGGCUUCAAAGGAUUCAACCCAAUAUUUUCUUUAUAUAUAUAUAUAUAUAAUAUAUAUUAUAUAUAUAUAAAUAUAUUUAAUAACACUUGACGUUUUCAAAAACGUCAAGAAAAACGAUCUUACUUAACGUCUAAAAAAACAUCAAGAAAUUUAAAAAAUAACUCUCUCUGGCUUUUUAUAAAAAUUCUUGACGUUUUAAAACAUAAAGAAUUUUUAAGAUAUUUCUUGACGUUUUUAAAAUGUCAAGUAAAAGUACAUAUUACUUGACGUUUGAAAAUUUUGAAGAAUAUUGAAUAUAUAAACAUUCUUGACGUUUAAAAAUGUCAAAAUUUUUAUAGAUAUUUCUUGACGUUUUUAAAACGCCAAGAAAAAAUACAUAUUAGUUGAUGUUUAAUAAACGUCAAGAAAUCUGAAAAUUGACCUACCCGCCUUUUCGUAAAAAUUCUUGACGUUUUAUCUUUGGAACUACUCCUUUCUUGACGUUUUUUUUGAAAAAAAUGUCAAGAAAGAAAAACAACAAACGUCAAGAAAGGCCUUUUUUGUAGUAAUGACAUACAUAAAUAUAUAUAUAUACAUAUAUAUAUAUAUAUAAUGAAUUAAAAUGGUUUUGUUGCUUUACUGUUUUACUCUAUAAAGGAAGAGCAUUAUAAAUAUAUUAUUGAGGAAACAUUUUUUGAAAUGACUGGUUUUGGAAGUGUCAUUAGAUUUUUAGUUAGUUAAGCACAUUUUCCUCCCAAAUAGUAGUCGAAAUACAACUUUUUUUAAGAAGAAGAAACCGAAUCAUUCAAACUAAGAUAAUCCUAGGAUAAGAGUCAUUAUCUAUUAACAUAGAGCUAAAGUUACAAGGUUGAAGGCUAGAGGGAAGCCCGAAACAACCUAAUCUAACAAAGCUUAAAGUUAAGAGUUGGUAGUAACAUCAUAUUGGUUACAAGAUGAAUGACGCCUAGACCAAACUCCGAUCAAGUUACAUAUGUCUUCCCACAAGUAAACAAUAAACCUUGAUUUAUCCUUAAAAAUUCUAUUGUUUCUUUCUAUCCAAACAGUCCAAAGUAAGCCAGUUAUGGAGGGAGGAAUACACAUUAGAAAGCUCAGUUAUGGAUGGAGGAAUACACAACUUUUUCUCAUGGUCAUUUUCCUCGUGGGCAUUAUCUUCAUGUUUCUUCUUAUUCCGACUAAAAUACAAGCACAAAUUAUUCUUCGCCUUCGUAUAGGUUUGUUUGAAGAAGAUUAAAAAAGUCCUUAAUUUAUCUCGACACUUCCAAAACCAGAAUAUAAUACCCGUGCUACAUAAAUCCCUCUUUCCAAAUAGUCAAACAUGAACUAUCCAUGAAUAUCUUGAAUAAACAAGAGAAACCCUAACUAAACCCAAAUAGAAAAUACGCUGCAAUCUAAAAUAUACUUAAAGAAACAAAAAGAAGUUUUAAUGAUGUGGGUUUUUUACUGAUCUUCUUCAACAACAAAAUAACUCAACGCCACAGUUCAAUUUUUCCUUCCACGAAUUGGUUUUUAAAGAGUUUUCACCGCGAAUUUAUCUUUUUGGUUCAACAAGUAAACAACAUGUGAAUCCCCAAAUGCAAGGUUUUAUUAAAAAAUUAAAAUAUAAUUUUUUUAAAAAAAUUAUAAUACCUAAUUUUUUUUUAUAUAUUUAUAACCUAAUUUUCUGUCAUUGCAUACUUGAGAGAAAUAUAUUUUCAAUUAGCAUAAUAACCUUUAUAUAGUAAAUUAAAUUUGUAGAAUGAGAAAAGACCUUAGAUCCAAAAAAGUUAUUUAUUUAUUAUUGGAGUGAAUUGUCUAAUUAAUGUAGUUAAUGGAUGGUUUUGUAACCAUAAAAAUAAUGAAAAUAAUUUUCUAAAAGAAUGAAUGAAAAUUUGGAAAGUUAAAAGGUUUUAGGAAUUAAAAAAAGGGUGUAACAUUAUAAAAGACUACCAAAUAUACUGUAAGAGACAUGCAUUAAAGAAGCUAAGGCAUGCAUACUACCAAAUAUACUAUAAAUAAACCAGAAUUCUUUUUAAGAAAUUAAACAACUAAUUAAAUAUAAAGAAGAAAGAUUAGAAAAUGAAUGAUCAAACAAACUAUGACUCAUUUAUUUUUGACAGGUUCGGCCAGUAUCACCUGACAAUUCAUUUUCACCAAGAGAAUAAACAUGAGUAGCCUUGGAAUCAAGUUCCUCCGAUAAAAGCCACGGAGUUGAUGGGUUAGAGACAGAACCAGAAUUUGAGUUCAACGAUCUGGAUGGAAAAUUCUGAAACUAGCAGCAACAAGAAGUUAAGAUAACGAAUUAUUUUCAAUAUAGAAAGGCUAAUUGUAAGAAGUUGUUAAUGAAGUGUCCAAAUGCAUUAUGGUAAUAUUGGGUGCAGAUUGUUUGGAAGUUUUAUCCGUGUGCUGUGAAGCACCACAGAGUUGAAGCAUAUGAAACCAGUGUUUAUCUGACAAAAAAUAAUGUCAUGAUCAUUGCCUUUCCAUUCCAUAAAUUUAUGGAUAGCAAAAGAAAGAGAACUCUCAACACAUGAAUCACCAUAAAGACACACAUGACAACAUUAUUUUGGAUGAAGUUCUAAUAUUGCAACCAUGGAGGAAAAAUCAGCAAAUCUUAAAUAGAUGUAGUAGUCCAAAUGAUAAAAGUUUGUCUCAAGAUAAUAUUUCAGUAACUGCAGAUGCAUUGUGCUGAAUCUAACUCUUGUGUUUCACGGUAAUGAACAAGGACAAUGUGUUCAAAGGUCCUGAACAAAAAGCAGAAGCAAGUCAUAAUUAUAUAAGUAGAACACGAUAUACUGCCACUGUCUAAUUUCAUUUUUCUUUGCUUGUGGCAUGAUGGGGAUAGACCCCACUGAAACAACUGGUAGCAAGCAAUUUAACAAUUUUCUUUCAACCAUAACAUACUUAUCUAGGAGCCAAUAACCCGCGAACAAAGGUUGGGCUAUCUAGUCCGUGGCAUAGUAUACAUGUAUCCUUUCUACAUUACCAACCUGCUGAAGAGAAAGAAAAGAUUAUCAAAGCACACCUUUCCUUGGUUAUUAAGGCUGUAAAAGAAUGAAAAUUACCAUAAAUCUAAACAUAGUUAAUAUUAGACCAUUGAACAACUUAUAGAUUCAAAAGGAAAGACUCAAACCACCAAUAGACUGGUUAAUCAUUUAAAAUGAUCUCCAACAACAUGAUACGCAGUAUAUCGUGCUAGAUCCAUAAUUACCAGAUGUGGACUCCUAUGGUAAUUUCAUUGAUGAUACGCAGCUAGUAGGCAAGAUUAUGAAAUGAAGACGGUAUGUGAGACGAUUGAAAAGAUCAAGAUGAUAAAAUUAUAGGGAUUUGAAUUUAUAUCUUAAGAACACCAGAGUCAAAUGCUUAAGAUGAUUAACUGUGUUAAAUUUAACUCUAUAAUAUAUAAAUUAUUAGCAAAAACAGUAGAAAUUACUUCAAAUUUGUAGAGAGAACAUAUAAAUUAUAUUCUAGAGAAAGAGCAUCUGAAUUAUAUUCUACAGAAACACGAGCCCAUAGUAUAUGUACUGAGUAGCAAUGACAGUGAAAAAGGGAAUAGUAAGUAACUAAUCUCAUAAACCCCUUUCUCACAUCUAACCAAGUUCUUUCACAACAUGCAAAAGCAUCAAAAUAUUUAAGAAAACUUCCAAUAUUGCAUUUGGAACUCAUUGAUUGACUUCAACGUUUAAGAGUCCUAAAAGACACAGCUUACUUUCUCACCUCUCACCACUAAACCUAUGGCAACAUCUUUUUAUAAGAUAUUAAGCUAAUCUUUAGAUUGUUUACCGAAUAAUCGUCUAUUGUUUUGUAAUUGAUCCCACCAAGCGCUUACGCCACCUUGAAGUUUGAGAGCAACUAAUCGAACCUUCUUGUGUUCGGGUGUAUUGGCAUAGUCGAAAAAAAUUUCUACGUUCUUGAUCCAAUCAAGAAACUUCUCCACGUCCAUUUGACCAUUGAAGGUAGGGAGAUCCACUUUCAUACGUAUUUCUUGAUCUUCUUGAAAGUAUGGUCGAAGUCCAAGCCUUUGUUGAGGUUCUUGAUGAAUGUUCAGCAAGUUGUUCAUCGGAAGAGUCAGAAUCGUUUAAGAAAUUUCCAAGUACGUUGUUUCCAUACAAUCGAUUAUUGUUGAUGUGAAUAGGUUGAUUUCUUAGUAGUUCUUGGUUUACAACAGGGUUUAUUGGUUUUUCUUGUCUUUCUUGGUUUGCUGCAAUUGGGUUUCUUGGGGGCUGAAUUGCUUCUUCUAAAGGUUGGACAUGAAAUCGGGUAAAAAGGUUUGUUAAUUCUACUAACGAUUGCUGUAUAUUCGAUUGCCCUUUUCGAAGUUCUUCAAUAGCUUGUUCUACCAACUGCAAGCGUUGGUUGAAGGAGGCUUCCGCGUCCAUGGAUAAGAGUGGUAGGAUCCAAGUUUUUUUAGGGAAGAGUGAGCUAGGAUCACGCUCUGAUACCAAUUGAUGCAGUAAUUGCAAAGCUAGAAAUCUUUAUGUAUAAUGCCUCUUUUUUUAUGUCUUAUUAAUGAAAAUGAGAAGCUUUUUUAUAGGCUGGAGAUUACAAGAGUUGUUAAACUAACUUGGGGUUGAGUUAGUUUAACUUGGAGUUGAGUUAGUUAUAACUAACUCAAGAUACAAAAUUGGUAAUUCAAAUAACUAAUCCUAAACUAUAAAAAUGGUAAUUCAAACCCCUCCUCUAGGAUAAAACUCAAGAAACAUCAAGAAGGUAGAUGUUCUACAUCAAAGUGUAGAGAACGAUUCAAAAUCCUUGGUGAAAGGAAUGAAUGUUAACUAAUGUGUGUUUAUGUGAAAUUGUUAUGUUAUGAGUAUGUUAAGGAUAAAGAAUGGUUUAUGCGAGAUAAAAUUAUUUGAUGUUGUUUAUGCGAAAUGAUGUCUAUGAAAAGGUAUUGCGAAAAGGAUUUCAUAAAACCUUAGUCUUUUAGACAUUCUUUCAAAAAUUCAUCUUCCAAGAUGAGGUGUUUAGGCCAAGUAGAGAAGAAGGUUGAAGGAUUUGCAGCGAGAUGACCAGACGUUUUGAAAAUAGUUAAGCAUUGGUUGUUUGGUCAAAGUGUUGUAAUUAUGUAUCAAACACAUGUUAUUAAUAAACAUCUUGGUAGGUAUUUAUUAUACUAAAGUCAAAGUGUUGGACUUUAGUAUUGCAUGGACAUACAAUUUUGAAUGAAAAAUCCUUAUAAAUGGGGCCUUUGAACUCAUUUGAUGGGUUGGCUAUUAUAUUUGGGCUUUCACACCAAAUGGAAUUUCUUUUUCUUAUUUACUUAAAAAAAAAAGAAAAUUUACCACGCCCAUUUUUUUCAUCUAUUUCUCUCGUCCGGUUCUUUCAUCCAACGGGUCCCACAACUCGAUUAUGAGUCUAGAGGAUACUAAGUCAAACUUAGUGGUUGUUCGAAUAAAACGCAGCUUCAAAUGUAAGUAUUCUAAAAACCUUAUUUUUUGGUUUAGUCUCGUUAACUAAGCCCAAUUAGGGUAGAAUUUCGAUUCUUUUUCUGUUGUGCAUGUCUUAGUUCUAUCAGUAACUCCUUUCAGGGUGAUAGCUCUCAUCAGCAGACUUUCCAUUGCUGGUUUCUUCCUUAGUCAUCAUUGUAUUGUUGUUUUCCACAAUAGAUAGGGUGAGUUGCAGUUUUACAUGAAAUGCACUGCUCAACCCACACUCUUUUCUCACUAGUUCCUUAUUCUCAAUCUUCAACGCAAAUUUCAUCAUCUGGGCCAACCCAAUCGGUUCCACGGUUUCCACUUCCAUUUUUAUUCAUGGGCUAAGCCCAAUCAUCAAAGUCUCCUCUAACACUACCGUUUGAAGAAAUGCUACCAGAGCUAAAUAUCGAUCAAAUCGGUUGCGGUAUUCUUCUACAUUCAUUUCUGUUUGAUUGAGAAAAAUCUUCCAACCAAAGUUCCUUCUCGAAUUGAUCGAAACUGUACAAGCAUUCGUUCUUUCAGGUCAGCCCAAUUCUUAAAAACUUCCAACUCUUCUUGUGCUUGGUACCAAUCCAAUGCCAGAUCAUCAAAACUAAUAACGCCUGUGGUUAAUUUCUCUGAAUCGGUAAGAUCAUGUAUCUUAAAGAAGCGAUAGGCUCUAAAUGUGAGACCCAUUUCUAAUUUGAGUAAUGAAGUAAAAUUGGCUAGGUAUUAAGAAUUUGGCGUUUGAAUAAAUCAACGAAAAGGAUUAAGCGAUAAAAAAAUUUAUGGUUAAGUAUACGUUAUUGCGAUUCAGUGGGUAGUUCGCGAAGGAAGUUGUGCGACCCAUUUCUAAUUUGAGUAAGGAAGUAAAAUUCGGCUAAGAAUUAAGAAGUUGGUGUUCAAAUAAAUCCAUGGAAAGAUUAAGUGAUAAGAUCUUUUACGGUUAAGUAUACUUUUUUGCGAUAAGUGGGUAGUUCGCGAAAGAAGUUGUGCGAUAAUGUAACACCCGAACUCUAAGGUAAUUAAUUUAAUCGGACCAUUCGAUAUUUUUACUCUUAAUUUUUGUUCGACGUCAUUUUGUUGUUUUGUCUUAAAAAAAAAAGUGUUGGAAAAGUCUUUCAUAAUAAUAAUAUAUUAUUAUUAUUAUUAUUAAUUAGCAUAAAAAAAAGGAAAAGAAAAAGAAAUUAAAAUAUCUUUUUCCUCUCUCCCCUCUCUCACGCGUGCGACACCCUCUCUCCAUCUUUUUCUUCUUCUCUUUCCUGUACCCUAACCCAGCCGACCAUCAUCUUCUCCCCUUCCCUUGCCGUUCAGAUCCAUGGCCUCCGCCCACCGCCGCGUGACCCUCUGCCCAGCCCCGCCGCGUGACCUCUGUCUCCGUCGAAGCCAAGUCCAGCCGUCGUCCAUUCCUUUCCUCUCUUCUUCUCCGUUCGUGAAGCCCAGUCGCCGCGUCAGAUCGUCGAUCGAUUUUGAGGCAGCGCGCACGCCUCCUUCUAGCCGCGCGUUUCCUCUUCUUCCAGCAACGUGUUUUUUCUUCUAACCGCGAUUCACAAACCGACGUACACUCUAAUCUGUUUGCACGAUGGUUUUUGUUUAGAAUCGAUUGCCGCUGCCCCUAUUUUUACUGAGAUCCGUCGAAGUAUUGUUGGUAAGAUUGAAGUUAUGAAAUUGUAGUCGUUUUCAAAACAAUUUAAGUAUGGGUUGUGAUGUUUUCAAGGUGUUCAAACGUUACGGAUGGGUUAAUUGACUAAUUUGAUAAAUUAUUCUUGAAGGUGUGAAAGGUAACCUUGGAUCACUUAAAUUCACAACCAAUUUGUGAAUUUUGAUUUCGAUUUCGUUUGCCCUUAUUUGGAUUGUUUCGUGGACGAUAGUUGAUUAAGGGAGCUUCCCUAACUUUGAGGUAAGGGACUUUCUACUGGACUCACCUAAAGUUUUUGAGUUGUGUUGGACUGUAUGGAUGAUGAUUAAGAUGUACACGUUUGGUUGCAGACUAAAUGUUUAGUGUAUGUUGUAUUUGACUGGAAACAUAUAUAUAAAUACAUUGAUGUGUGAAUUGAUGUGGAUUGCCGAAAGUAUACAUGUGAAUGACUGAAAUUAUGCUUAUGUGUACAUGAUGAUAUUAAUAGAUUGUGCUGUAUAAAGAUUUGGAUGUGAACUAGUGAAUUUGUUUCGGUUGAAUGUGGAUUAUACUGAACUGUGGUUUGCGCUGGUAAAAAUGAGGGGUGUUGUGACUUUGUUGUUUACUUGACAGAUGUAUUAAAAUGUUAUCAACGACCUUCGAACUUAAGUGAGAUAGGUUGACUGUUAGAAUGUUGAGUGAAAGAACUUUAUAUUUUGAAGUAACUGAAAGAUGUCAUAAAUUACCGUAAAGAUGGUUAGAAUGGAUUGAGGGGAAAAAUUGUUAGUUUUAUUGGGAUGUAUGCCUUGUAGGUGUCCUACGGGAUCACCAAUUUUUAUGCGACCUUCGGAGCAUUAGACUGAUAUGUGUUUCUGCAGAACACUAGACUGAAAUGUACGUCCCUCGGGGCGUUAGACUGAAAUGUGCAUCCUACGGGAUCACAAGACUGCGACUGUACAGGGUGUCCCAAUAGAAUGUUAACAAUUUAUUUUCCCCUGACGGGACCAGUAGAGGGUCUCUUACUGGGUAUUUUUAUACUCACCCUCCUUAUGUUUAAUUUUUCAGGCAAAGGUAAUAAAGGCAGCAAACCGGCGAGGGGCAGGAAGGAAGCGUGACCGCCACAGGGGACACUUUAAAAUUUUGCUUCCGCUUAGUGAUUUAUAGUAUUAUUUGUAUUCGAACGUGAGACUGUUUAGAAAAUUUUGAAGUUUUAAAGUAUUCAAAGAUUUGAAACUUUUUAGUUUUAAAUUUUCAUGUGAAUUUUAGUAAUUUAAAACUGGGGCCCAAACAAACAAAAUAAAUUUUGUUCUUUUGAGGUUUUAAAUUUUAAUUAACCAAGGUCUUUUGUCAAAAGUUAAUGACCUCGACUUAGGUAAAAAGUUGGGUCGUUACAGAUAAGAAGCGAAAAAGUCUUUGCGUAAGUUAAGAAAUGAAAGUUUUGAGUGUUAGACUAGGAGUUUUGGGUGGUCUUCGCGAGAAGAACCAAGUGUUUCGUGGAGAAGAAGUCUACGAGGAAGCCUUGGAGUUUAAGUUCGUGAUAAGAGUUUUAUGCGAGUAAAAGUUGGUUAGUUCAGGUGGAACGUUUCUUAUAAUAAAAAUAUAAUCAAGCGAUAAGGUUAUUCACGAGAAAUGUUAAGUGGUUGAAUUUAUUCACGGUUUGGGUUAGGCGGGGAGCAAGGUUUGUAAAGAAAAUGUCAAAUCUGAUUUGACAUGGGUUAACAUGUAAGAUUAAGGAUUUGAGCAUGACUAGGUUAAAUAUUAAGGAUUUGCAUGACUAAGUUAGUAUAAGGGAUCUAUAAAAUAGGAGAAUUUAGGUAACUAAGGAGGGGAUGACGAGAGUUUUGUUGAAAUGUUAAAGUGUUGUUGGUUUAGCCACGCGAAAAGAUGGUUGUGAGAAGGACUUCUUUAGUGAAGUUUGGUGAGUGCUUUUCAGUCAAAAGAAUUUAUGUUAAGAAACUUUAUUACGAUUUCUCUUUACUGAUUUGAAAGAAGAAUUCAGAUGAGAAUGUUUCAGAAAGAUUUCUACGAAAAGUUAUGUUUUCAAGCAUUAUUUAUAAUAUUAAAGCUUGAUUUGAUGACUAUGAUUUCAAUACUAUGUUUCUUUGAGAUGAUGCUAACUUUUGUGUGCACAUAAAGAGUGAAGGCCACCAUGGAGUGUACAAACUACAUGGUAAUAAGAAGCUGACUUAUGCAUUGAAAUGAGCGUAUAAAGCUUAGCGGUAUAGCAACAAAGACGAAUUUGUAUGUUCUCAGAUGUUGAUACAGUAGUCUAAACGCGAGGUAAUGAGACCAAGCGUAGAGAACGAUUCGGGAUCCUUGACAAAAUGAAAUGAUUUUUUAAGCAUAAAGAAAGGUUUAUUCGAAAUGAAAUAAUUUUUCGGUAUAUUUAAAUGAUUUGAUAUUAUUUUUACAAAAUGAUUAUGAAAAGGUAUUGUGAAAGGUUUUCAUAAAACCUUAAAGGAUUUAAAAAAAAAGUGGACCAUUCAACUUAAUUCCCAUCCACUAUCCUCUUGUCCAACAUGAAACUUUAUCUUAGUAAAACUUCUUGAUCCACUAUUUUACAAAAAUAUUCAAAACAAUACCAUACUACACCAAAUGUGAUAUUUUGGUAACACUUAAAAUGGUCAGAAAUACCAUUUUCCUGACUUUUUUUUCAUCGACCAUUAAAGAAAAAGUAUAGAUGAUGUUUCACAAAAACUUCCAAACCAUUGUGUUAGUUAUCGUUUUGGAUGAGGGUUGGGGUAGAGCAUCAAUACUCAAAGGUUGUUAAGAAUUAAGACCUAAGACUUGAAAACGAAACCGCCUGCCUGGUUGACAACAACACCAUCCCACUAGAGUGCACAAUGAUGAUUUAUUGCAUUAAGAAGAAGAUGGCAGUUAACCUUAGCGCCAUAAUCAGAACCUCAAUCCUCCCUUUGAUGAAAGCACCUAAAGGUGUCAUGCCUUUCCCCUCUACCACAUUGAAGCUCUUUGUCUAACACUACAAGAAAUGAGGACUCUCUCGAUGCAUAAAAUCAUUGGGAGAUAUAUAAAAAGCGUCAGAAAAGGCUUUUCUGACGCACUAAUAUACGUCGGAACACAAGUGAGGAAAAUGUAUCGGGAGAGGAACUCCGAUGCACAAUGUUGUGCGUUGAGGGUUUCUAGACAUCUUCCGACGUUGUAUGAACGUCGAAGAUGUUGUCAAUAUAGCAUCGAGAGAUGUCUAGGAACCAUGCGUCGGGAGAUCCUCUAUUUUUUUUUAAAAAAAAUAACUUCAUUUAAUUCCUAAAUUCAAAUUGAAAAUUUUAAAUUCAAACUCAACUUCAACACUUCAACCUCAACUUCAACACUUCAAUCUCAACUUCAACACUUCAAAUUCAAAUUUCUAAAACCUACAACUAAUUCAAAAUUCUAACAACACUUGAAAUUAAAUUUCAUUACUAAAACUUACAACUAAUUCAAAAUCUAAAUACUAAAGAAAUCUAAAAUCUAACACCUAAAACAAAUUUGAAAUCUAAAUACUAAAACUAAUUAACUAAAACAAAACAAUAACUAAACUAAACCACUUACCGAUGGCGACGACGACGGGACGACAACAGGGACGACAAUGGUGAUGACAAUGCCCUCUUCUUCUCAAUCUUCCUCUCGGUCUCCCUCUCCCUCUCUCAUUUUCUUUCUCUUUAUGUUUCCUUUAUGUAAAGAAUGGAGUUAAAAAAGACAGAGAACUCCUGACGCACGACGAAAACGUCGGGAAUAGCACCCUAUUCAUGACCUGAUUUGUUAAACGUCAGAAAUCCCUAAACAUAUUCCCACGCGAUUAAUGAUACGUCGGGAAUCCCUAAAUCUAUUCUCAACGUUGCUGCCACACGUAAGAGGAAGGCGUUACAUACAAUUAAUGAUCUGCCCUUCCUCCGACGGUUCCUAAGCUUUUAGCUUUUCUGCAAUCACCCCUUAUGCAUGUUCUCAGGCGAAUCUCAACCAAACCAUAACACUCCAUCAAAAUAAAGAAGAAGAGAGACACCUCAAAACCUUAAAUAAAGUUAAGGGAGAAGAAUGGAAUGACAGAGAAGAAGAAGAGGCUUCUCCGCUGCCACCACUACUCAAGAGGAGAAAUGUCCACGAUGACGCGUCUAACUCGUAUAAAAAGGAAAAAAGUCGAAAGCUAGACGUGGCCAUCGACCCUAAACCUCUUGCAAUCUGACCCCUAACUCUCUCAUUGCCUCCUCCAAAAUCCAAAUCCUUCAAUUCCAGUCCUCAUCCAAAAAUUGAAACUCCCCCUCAUCAAUCUUACCCAAGUCCUCUCGCAUGUCUAUUAUCCUCUCACCACCAAAUCCCCCAUCAUUAUAACAACAUCCUUCACCUCACGACCUGACCGAACAAGCCCUUACCCGAUCAAAAGGGCAUUGUUAGCGAAGAAGAAUUCCUUAGGGUUGAGGAGGAAGACCUGCAUCACAUUCCUCUCCCUCCGCACACUACUAUACGUAAUUCCAAGGAGGAAGACUUACAUCUCGCGUGUAAACACCGAUACCCAAUAAUCCUUAAUUCAUCUAAAGAACUCAAUAGGACAUUAGGGGUUGAUGUUAGGAGAAAGAUGGUUUAAGAUUGGAUAGUUUAGUUGAAGUGUUAUGGAAGAUGUGUUAAUAUUUUUAAGAUGAUAAAAGAAAAGUGUCAUCGUAACAAAGAAAGGCCUAAAGGGUGUUCGAAAAUUGGCUAAGUGUUGGCUAGGGCAUGUUGCAUACUCUAGGCGGCCAAAAGUGUCAAGCGAACCUCUAAAGAGACAUGUUGGGUGGCCAAAGGUUGAGAUGUGGUAUGGCCGAAAGGUGUCAAGACAACCUCUAUAAGACAAGGCUAUAUGACCAAGGGUAUGCGCUAGGCAAGGAAGCUAAGCAUCUAGGAAAUGUCAAGAAACUCUAAAGAAGUUAGAACGUGGAUAAGGAAUGUCAUGCAACAAAGAGGUGGGCUAUGUGGACAUAGGUCAUGCGGCCAAUGGGGCAAUUCAACCAAAUGCUAGUCAAGAUGGCAUGGUUUGUUGAAGGCAUUGAGGGAUGUUUGGGAGAUUAGGCGAGAAAAAAAAGUCUUAGGCAUUCUUGGCAGUAAGAAUUUACUAAAGAACCCUCAUAGAAAAAGGGAUAUGCGUCCAAGGAUGACUUAAGCAAUAUGAGGUAAGAUGUGCGGUAGAGUACAAGUGGACAACAUACAAGAUACCUAAGUUUUGCCAAAUAAGUGUCUUGCAUGAGUUGGAAAGUGGCAAGUAUGGGCGUAAGAGGUGAGAAAAAAAGGUUCAACCAAAGAGCAUGCAAGGAUCACUAUAUGUACAACUUUGGACGAAUUAUGUUAACAAUCAACUUGUGUUAAUUGGGUAACUCUACUUCGAAAAUCUCCUAAAUUGAGUGUAGUAUCAAGAGAAAGGCUACCAAGAAGAAAGGCAUUGAAGUGAAGAAAGACUCAAAGGUCAUUUUCAAAAAAAAAAAAAAAAAAACUUGAACAAUGUAGAGUAUUUUGAGCUACAUAACUCAAUACUUGGAAUUUGUUAGUGACACUUUGUGGUAAGCUAGUGAAGACAUUCUAAGUAAGUUUGUAGAAGGAAUCUUAUUGAUUUAAGCUUCAAAGUCGAGUUAAGUUUCUGGUAGAAAAAUCAUAUUUCUAGACAAGGCCAUGGGUGGGUUGAUUGCCAGGAUGACAAGGUGAGAUGAGCGUGUGUUUUGAGCGAAAGAGGUUAUUUAGGCUUGGGACAUGCAAGAAGCAUGUCCUGGCAUGAUCAAGCAGCCUGAGCCACGCGUCAUUACACACUCUAUUAUGAAAGUUGAGUAUAUUGCUACUUGUGAAGCAGCAAAAGAAGCAGUUUUGGUGAGGAAGUUCUUGCAUAAUUUGGAAGUUGUUCCAAACAUGAACAUGCCCCAUCACUUUAUAUUGUGAUAAUAGUGGGGCAUAUUACUAAUCCAUUUACAAAGACUCUCAUGGCUAAAGUGUUCGAGGGUCUUCUAGAAAGUCUAGAUCUGCGAGUUAUGUACAUUAGGUAAUCUAGGAAAAGUGGCAGAUGUGUAAUGGGUAUGAGGAUGCCCUAGUUUAUUGUAUUUGUAUAUACACAUUUUAUGUAAUACACUUGUACAUUUUACCAUUUUCAAUGUUAGAGGAUUACUUUAUUAUGAACAUCCCAAAGAGACGAGAGUUUUAGUCCAAGUGGGAGUUUGUUGGAAUUUAUGUCCUAAAACUCGUAGAUUGUAAAUAUAAUCCAUUGACCAUUGUUAAUAAAGUGUUAUUAUUGUAAUAAUUGUUAUUGAUUAUAUUAUUAGUUUUGUCUUAAUAACUCAAAUCCAAUAAACUAACAUCCUAAACUGUUUAAUAAGUAUUGAAUAGUAUGUAGAGACAUACAGGGAUCAAUGUUCGAGAUCAGCUUAAAGGGUCUAUAGUAUACGGAUAAGACUGGGUACCUUUAUCCUGGUAACAUUAUGAAUACGACUCACUUUGUAUUUGAUACAAAUACAAUGAUCCAAUGUGUUCAUGUAGUUGACAUGCGAGUGAAGGUAUCCUAUGCAAUGAGAUUGCAAUAGACUAGACUGUGAAAUAGUAACCACUUGGUGUUACUACAUUAACUAGUUAGGUUUCUAUUUCACUAGGAUGACCUAGAUAACUUAGUCUUAAUCUUGAGUGUAUUAUGAACUCAAUGAUCUUGGAUGAAUUUGACUUCAAAUACAAACUUGGAUUCCACAACCUAAACCAAAAUAAAAUAAUAUAUCAUGUUAAGAUGGAUUCACAUAGCAACAUUUUAUCAAAUGGUUGCAAUGUUUCAAAUAAGCAACAAUUAAAAUUCACAUAUCGAUUUGGCAUCUAUAAAUAUACAAACUAAAAAGUACCUAAAUGUCAAUUAUUUACCCAAUAAGGCUAACUAAGUAACCAACGUCUAAUAUGUUUUGCAAUGAAAAAGGUUGCCAUAUUGUUAAUUUGGCCAUAUUGUGAAGGCAACCUCUUAGAUGUGUUUGUGAGAAAGGAAAGAAAUACCAAAAUAAGUAUGGACUAAGAUAGUAUCAAAUAAAGUUAAAGUUGAAUUUUAAAGCUCUAUUUUUUUCAAGAUAGAGAAAUUUCAGCUAAAGAGGAAAACACUAAGGACAACCAAGCAAAAAAGUCUAACAAAUAUCAAAAGAGAACAUGCAGGAAAGAAAGAAUGUAAAUAAGGUUUUAUCCGCACCAAGCAAAAAAGUCUAACAAGUAUCAAAAGCUUCAUAAGUUGUACUAGAAUUCAAAGCUCUAAACUCUAAAGAAUGUAAAUUUCUUUGAAGAAAUUUGUGUAUAAAGGUCACACAGUUGAAAAUUCAAUACCUUUUCAAGAAUGUUGUUGAGAAGAUUAUUGUGAUGAAUCUUUGAAUCCAAAUUAUGGAGACAAGAUAAAUAAAUGAGUUCUGAUUCUAACUGACUGAAUGAGAGUUUAGAAAAUAAGAACAUUGGAGUUGAAUUAUCAGCAUUUAUUUUAAUCAAACUUACGAUAGCAAACCAAAUUAUAGAGAGAGAUCAAAUGCUAGGAUAAAGGAAUAAUCUUACAUUUGGUGAGUUCCCAAAUGUUGUGGUAGUCACGAGAGUUAUUCCACUCGAAUUGUCUUAGACAAGAGGCUUCCAUUCAGCAAGUACUGGUGAGAAUUAAAGUGGAAUGACAAACUUAAAAACACCUAAUCUUUAACAAACUUUUCCGACUUUUUGCAAUUAUUUUUUAACACAAGAUAUCAAAACACACUUAAAAACCAUAACAACCAAUUACCAUAAAACGGUGUCCAAUAACAAUAAUUGGGUCAACCCAAACAUCAUCAAAUUCUUGGGAAAGGUUGUGGACUAGACCUUCACCAUCUUGCCCCUAAAACAAGUUAAAGCUUAAGGAAAGAACACAGUAGAAACAAAAAUCAUAAACUCAUCAGUUAGAUAGUAUUGGUGGUCAAAACCUCAAGGUCUCACUUCUUCCAUUUUAUAUUACCAAAUUUGAAAAUGAUUUUUAAUAUAUGAUCAUUACUUGAAACAUGUUGGUGUACAAGUGUGAAUGAAACUAAAUCAAGUUUGUGUUUUAUGUUAUUGUUUUUGACAGUAUAUUUAUGUGCUAUGCAAUCCAUGAGAGUAUAUUUAUGUGCUAUGCAAUCCAGAAGGGGGAAUGCAAGCUAUACCCAAUUCAUAAUUGUAUUUGGAACACUAAUGAUUUUAGCACAAAUUCCAUCUUUCCAUUCUCUAAGACAUAUAAACCUUAUCUCCCUCACUCUAUACCUUGGCUAUAGUGCUCUUGCAACAUAUUAAAAUUCUCGUAAUUAAAAAUUCAUACACAAUUUAAAUUAAAUUAAACAUCAAGACCCCUGACGAAGAUGAAUCUCUGUUCAUUUUUCUUUUUAUUAACAAACAAAAGUUUUUAGGUCAACUUCUUUCAACAACCUCCUCAAGGAUCCUUAAUUAUCUCUUUCCAAGUUCAUAACCACUCUAGUCAUGCAAAGAUUAAGGUUCAUGGCCAAUCAACAAUUAAUCUGUGAUUAAGAUAUUAUGAACGCUAUUCACAUAAAAACAUGAAAAGAUUAAGAGCAAAUAAUCAGAUGCAUUACAAAGAAUAAUUCAUAAACUUUGUCUACAUCUAUCCCUAGGAUUAAGAGUUUAGCUACCCCAUACUUCACAAUCUAAAACACAAAACUCAAUACAAUACCCAUAAAAAAAAUUAAAGGAGAAGAAAAAGAAAACGAAGAAGAAAAGCUAGUGAUUCGUAUUAUUAUAAUACUGUGUAUAACAGUAUGUGUUUUUUAAUAUUCUCUGUUUCCAGCUCCAAUGUACCAAAAUAUUAUCACAAACUCCACAAUCCUUCUCUUUCCAAUCCCUAAACUAACCAAUGAAUCAUAUUCGCACGCUUGGUAGCCUUGUUCAAAAUAUUAUAUAUUACAAUUAUAAUAACUUGUAUCCCCCCUUUUCAAGCCUAAAAUGCAAAACCUUUCUUCCAUUCUCUAAGGCAUAUUUCCUCUUCUUUAAUUUUGCAUUCCAAUUUUAAAUUACAAAUUACAAAUUUUAAUCACAAAGGAAAAAAGGAAAAUUAUUACCUUUAGAAAGGGAAGAAAAUAAAUGAGUAACCAUGAAGGAUUUGGAAACGAAUAGAGGUUUAGCGAAAGUGGAAUGCGACAGAAGGACGGUGAAUGUGUUUACUCGUUUUCGAACAGAGAAUGUGUUUACGCAUUCCGAACGGUGAACAGACGGACGCAAAUCAACGAAGGUGAAGGGAACGCAAAGCAGACGGACGGUGACGGACGAUGAACGCAAAUGAAUGAAGGUGAAUGCUUAUGAACGCGAAGGGAAGUCUUUUCCGGCGAUGAACGCAGAUGAAUGCACAGAUGAACGCGAAGGGAAGGUUAGGUGAACGACGCUUUUGAUUUCGGGUGGAGAAGGGACAAAGUCGCGGCGAAUUAGGUUUAAUUAAGAAAAGGGGAAGUGAUCUAAUUGAAACGUUGGGUUUUGUAAAAGAAUAUUAACACAAUAAUUUUUUAGAAAUUUCUUGACGUUUUUAAAACGUCAAAAACAAAUUAAAAUUUCUUGAACUUUUUAAAACAUCAAUGAUUUUUUAGAAUUAUCUUGACGUUUUAAAAACGUCAAGAAUUUUUUAUAAAUUUCUUGACGUUUUUAAAAAUGUCAAGAACUUUUUAGAAUUAUCUCGACAUUUUAAAAACGUUAAGAAUUUUUAUAAAUUUCUUGAUGUUUUUAAAACGUCGAGGAAAACUAUAUAUUAUUGACGUUUAAAAAACAUCAAGAAAGUUGAAUUCAUAAACAUUCUUGACGUUUUUUAAACGUCAAAAAUUAUUAGAUAUUUCUUGAUGUUUAAAAAACGUCAAGAAAAAGUACAUCUUACUUGACGUUUAAUUGCAUAAAAAACGUCAAGAAAAAACGUCAAGAAAGUUGAAAAUUGGCCUUUCAUAAAAAUUCUUGACGCUUUUUUAUUUGAAAUCACAUCUUUCUUGACGUUUUUGGGAAAAAACGUCAAGAAAGGAAAACUACAACCGUCAAGAGAGCCUGUUUUUGUAGUAGUGAUUUUGGGGACAAGACUGAGUGGGGAGUUGGGAUUAUAAUUGCACAAAAUGGAAUUCACUCAUUUCCUACUGUAGGAUAAGUAGAUGAAUGUUAGCUUAAAUGGUGUCUCCAAAACUUAAACAAAGGGCCCGUACUCUCUCUAUGACAUGAGAGGGGUUUUUGUUUAUUAGUAGGACCAUAAACAAGUUGUUCAUUAGAGGAGCACUAGUUUUUAAGGAUUAGAGGUAACAUAGGGGUAAAGCGGUAAAUUGAUCCAACUGGUGUUACAAACACUCGUGAAGGACUAACUUACUAUUAUUGGUCUAUAUCCGUGGACACAGAAAUAUAUUUUUAGUGAGAAGAGUUCAGUUGUGAGUCUUUAGUGGAGUGUACACACAACUAACGAAUAUUGAUUAAUGUGGUUAAUGAGUUUAGCCAAUUAAUCUUAGAUCGUUGUAGCUUCUGAUCUGUAGGUCCACUAGGUCCCUUUCCUAGCUCGUAAAGGGUAAUGAGAUUUAUUUGUAUUAGUUGUAAUUUAAAAUGUUUAAAUUUAACUUGGGAAUUAGUAUAAUGUAUAGUGAUACAUUAUAAUAUAAAGUUUAUCAAACUUUACUAUAUAAAUUUAACUUUGGGGAUGAUUUAAAAUUAAUUUAUGAGAGAUAAAAUAUUUGAAUGAGUUCAAAUAUUAAUUUAAUGUAAAUUGGAUUCAUAUUAAAAUUAUUGAGAGAAACUUAUAUUUGAAUAUGAUUCAAAAUUAAUUUAAGUUAAAUAUAAGAUAAAUAAUUUAAUGUUAUUAGUUAAUUGGAGAAUUAAUUAAUAGUUUAGUUUAAUAUUAUUUAAUUAAAUGUGAUUUCAUUAAUUAUUAACUAAUUGAUUAAUGUUUAAUUAAUCAGUAGAUUUGAAAUAUAUAUUAAUUUAAUUGUUUGUAAAUUAAUAGAAUCUCAUAGUUCUCUUCUACUUCAUUUUUUAUUCCUAGAAGGAAAGAGAGUUAUAAUAUCUAGAAGAAAACAAUUUUCUUAAAAAAUGAAUAUAAUAAAAAAAGAAAAAAUAAGGCUAACGCUAUUGCUCUUUGCAAAAAGAAAAGAGUUUCUCUCAAUAUCUCUAAACUUUUUCCCAUCCCAAUUGGUUCCACAAACCAAUCUUAUCACAGAGGUACUCUUUGCAAUUUAAGCUCUCUUUGCAAUGGACAGUCUUCAAAGUUUUUUUAACGAUGUUUCUAAUGCUUUCCUUUCUCUCUCAUGUUUAAUAAAACAAAUUUCUCUUAAAACCUGUAGGGAGGCUACAUCGUAUCGAAUUUCAUACAACUGACGUGUUCAUCGAGUUACAACAAGUGCCGCACAAUAGUCUGUUCCAUGUUUGAAAAGUUGUGAGUGUGACACGCUGCACAUGAGGUUAGAACGAGACAUGGCAAGGCAAGCUCUACGCGCACCUGCCAACUUCUGCCACAAUAUUUUGUACGCAAGCUAAUGUCUUUGGGCUGUUUUUAUGGUAUUUGGAAAUUUUAAGCAAAGUUUUGAUAUUUUUAUGAUCAACAGGAAUUAAAUGGAAUUAUUUCCCAUUAUUUUCAUUAUUUUAGAUCAGAAGGAGAUCGAACAAAUUUAUAAGCCAAGGGUCCAAGCUACUCUCUAUAAGUGACAAAAAUGAGUUUAAAGUUGAUUUCUAAACAUGAAUUUACUAUCAAAUGUUUCAAGCAUGCUUUGAUGUUUGAAUAUUUGAGGAUACUGACUUAUAAAGUAUUUCCAAAGCAUGAAUUUAGAAACAUUUUGGUAAUGAAAAUUAUAAGCAAUCAUGAUUGUGCUAAGUUAUCAAAAUGUUUAAGCUUGAAAAUAAUAUUAGCAUGUUUUAGUCUAUACCUAAAAUAUUCUAAGAUAUAUAGCAACCCUUCGGGAGAGAUUUUCUUGUGCAUAGAGGUCAUUUGAUUUGGAUAUUCAGUAAAUACCUAGCUUUCCAUCAUUGGUAUUAGAUAAGAGAUGAAGACUUCUAAAGAUGCUUAGUUUCCCAUCUCAAGGGACGAGACCCUGUACGAAUGCCUAGUUUCCAUCUCAUUGUAGUUAUAACGAGAUAGGGCACAAUUGAUGCCUAGAGUUUCAUCUCGUAAGUAUCGUAUCACGGGAUAGGGCUUCUAUGCCUAGUUUAUUGUUUUUCGUCUUGACGAUUCUAGUAUAGCAACUGAAAGGGAAAGUUUGAGAUAAGUUGUUUGAGUUUGAUUUCAUUUAUGUUAAGAGUUAAUUGUUAAAUACUUAUUAUUUCAAACAAUGUUUUAUAAAACAAUCACUCAUUGGGCUAUUUAGCUCACUCUUUGGAUAAAUAUCCCCAUAUGGAUUACGUUGUUUGGAAAAUUAAACUGUCUUUAGUACUUCAAAGAAAACUUCCCUCCCAUGUCCUCUCACCUCAUGUCAUCCCAUUUGUGUUGAUAACAUGAAAAAUAUUUAGCACCUUUUAAUUGAUUAUGUCUUUGUAUCGAAAUGUUGGUUCCGUCUUCUCCAAACAUUCAAUAUUUGUUGGGAUUUUUUGCUCAAUCAAGGCUUAUUCUUGUUUGUUCUCGACCUGCUACCUAUGAUUUAUGAUUUUGUUUUGGACAUAUUAUUUUAUCAUUUUGUUUGGUUUUAUAUUUGUGGCUUUUUUUUUGUUUUGUUUUGUGUUUUGUUUUUUUUUUUUUUUGAAAAGGAGACAACCUCUUUAUUAAUAUUAAAAUAAUAAAAUAAUUAGACAAAAGCUCAUGGUACAAGAGAGUUAUACAAUGAACAUGUAACCAUGGAUCAGAGGGUGCACCUUGGCAUCUCAACUAGGUUGACACCCCCAUAGCACCCUCAUCAUAUCCAACCAAGCUAAAACCCAUAACAAAGGAGUAAUGUCCAAAGGCAAAACAAACACAAAAAAAGCCUUCUAUUUGUGGCUUUUGUUUUGAUCUUGUGUUGUCGCUUUUUGGAUGUGAUGAGGGCGCUAAGGGGGUGUCAACACUCAAACCUUAUGACGUAACAAAUGCAAAUUUUAUGACGUUUUUAGGGGUAGUCCCUCCCAUUACUAGCUCAACACUCAAACGGAGUCUCCUGUAUAAAAUAUAAAAUAAUACAGACACAAAUAGUGAAUGAAAUCUUAUGACGUAACAAAUGCAAAUUUUAUGUAUACUGCAAUUGACUAAAUAUUGAACAAGAAAGCCCAAGGGAAUACAAAAAAAUCCAACGUUUUUAGGGGUCAAUUUGAAAAAUGGCAAAAUUACUUUUUCUUUUCAAUUUUAGCAAACAACAUUUUUUGCACGUGCAUGGUAUUUUAUAAAAUACCAGAAUAUCAACAUUCUUCAACUGUAGUUAUUUCGUUUCUACAUUGUAAUUAAUUUAUGUUAUGCAUUUAUCAGUUUUUAAUUAUCUUUUACUUGAAAUAGAUACAUCAACUCAUAUCAUAAUAUUUUUCUUAAUAUCUCGAGUCUCAACUAAUUAAUUCACAUAUUAAUAACUUUAUUCAAUCAUACUAAUUUCAAAAUAACCUAAUUGAAUUUGAAUUUCAAAAUAACAAAAUUAUUAUUUUUCGGAAUUUGAGAGUCUCAACGAUAGAUUUUGUAUUAAAAUAACCUUAAUUGAAUUUCAAAAAUAAAAAAUAUCAACAUGUUCACUAUCUUUAUCUCAAAAUAACAUUAAUGCCUUGAAUAUCAAGAUAAUUAAAUUAUUAUUUAAAAUUGGAAGAAACUCAACAUUAAAAAAUAUUAACUUGUUCGCACACAAGCAUAGAAGCACUGCGCACACACGUACACAUGCACACUUACACACACGCGCACACACGCACAUCUACACACAGACACCCACAGACACACGAACGCAUGCACAUACACAUGCACACGCGCACGCAUGCACAUACACAUGCACACGAGCACGCAUGCACACGCACACACCUAUCCACACGCGCGCACAAGCACACACACAUGCACAAACGCACACACGCGUACGCACAAACGCACACACUUAUACACAUACGCACACGCGCACAAACACGCACGCACGAGCACACACACACCUAAGCACACACGCAAUAGCCUGCGCACACACACGCACGCACAAACACAUACAAACAUGCACACACCCACACAUAUAUGCACACGGACACUCGCAACAAACGCACGCACAUACACAUACGCACACCUACCUACACGCACACACGUACACACGCACAUAUGCAUAAAGAUGUAUAAAUGAGUUAAAAUUAAAAAAAAACUACAUUAAUUGUGUUUAGAAGGACUUUUAAACCAUGUUCAUUUGACUUAAUAACAUUAAUUAAACUAUAAUUUCUAUCAAUAUUGGCUUAAAAAGUGUCAUUCGUGUAAUUAUUUCAAUAUAAUGCGAUUUUAUCCAAUUCUAUUUGCAACAAACAGGUCGAAUAUGAACCAGUAGAUAUACAUGUCAUAAGAGAUAUAGGAACAUUUUUAUGGUCAUUUUGAAAAAUGCAAAACUUUUUGUAACGACCCAACUUUUCUAGGUAAGUCGAGGUCAUUAAUUUUUAAUAAAAGACUUUGUUGAUACAAAAUGAAGCGUAAGUCAAUUUAAAAAAAAAUAUGUCAGGCCUGAUUUUCAAAUAUCAAGAAAACUUAAAAAUAACACUAUUUACAAAUAAAAGUUUGUAAACUAAGUUUUUAGUACAUCUUAAACCUUAAAAGAAACAUAAGCGGAAGCAAAAUACACAUUUCCUAUGGCAAUCACGCUUCCUUCCUGCCCCUCGCCGGUUUGCCACCUUUAUUUCCUUUGCCUGAAAAUUAAACAUAAGAAGGGUGAGUAUUUUAAAUACUCAGUAAGAGACCCUAUACUGGUCUCGUCAGGGAAAAUAAAUUGUUAAAGUUCUAUUGGGACACCCUGUACAGUCGCAGUCUUGUGAUCCCGUAGGAUACACAUUCAGUCUAACGCCCCGAAGGACGUACAUAUCAGUCUGACGCCCCGAGGGACGUACAUAUCAGUCUAACGCCCCGAGGGACGUACAUAUCAGUCUAACGCCCCGAGGGACGUACAUAUCAGUCAAGUGUUCUGCAGAAACACAUAUCAGUCAAAUACUCCCGAAGGUGCAAAAUAAAUUGGUGAUCCCGUGGGACACCUACAAGGUAAACAUCCCAAUACAACCUAACAAUUUAUCCCCUCAUUCCAUUCAACCCAUCUUUCAGUUACUUCAAAUCACAAAGUCCUUUCUUUCAACAUCCUAACAGUCAACUUAUUUUACUACAGUCAUAUGUCUGUCAAUAAUAUGCUAAUACAUCAGUCAAUCACUAUACAGUCAAGUCAAUACACCCCUCAGUUCACCAGCACAAACCACAGUUCAGUAUAAUCCACAUCCAACUGAAACAAAUUCACUAGUUCACAUCCAAUCUUUAUACAGCACAAUCUAUUAAUAUCAUCAUGUACACAGAAGCAUAAUUUCAGUCAUUCACAUGUAUACUUUCGGCAAUCCACAUCAAUUCACACAUCAAUGUAUAUAUAUAUGUUUCCAGUCAAAUACAACAUACACUAAACAUUUAGUCUGCAAUCAAACAUGUACAUCUUAAUCAUCAUCCAUACAGUCCAACACAACUCAAAAACUUUAGGUAAGUCCAGUAGAAAAUCCCUUACCUCACUUUUAUGCAAGUUCUUCAAUCUACUAAAUCCAAUGAAUCAAAUCCUAAACAUAAUCAAUCAUAAAAUCAACAUCUUUCUAAAUAGUUUCAACCAUUCAAAUUACCCCAUAUGUAAAUUCCACAACUUACCCAAGAAGUGGAAAAUCAAGUCCACUUCAACCUUUUGGAAAAUCAAGGAUUCGCUCACUGAAUCAAGAUGUACCUUCAAGAAUUAAGCAUUUCGCCAACAAUUAAAUCCAAUGGCAGCAUCCAACAAAAACCAAGAAACCAACAAAAACCAUAACUUGUUCUUACCCAAAUAUGAGCCCAAUGGUUCACGGCGAGGCAGAUCUGGACGACGAUUUGCUUUGCGAGGGAGGCACGACGGUUGUGAGCGAGAGGCACGACGGUUACAGGCGGAUGGGCGCGACGGUUUAGAUCUGAAGAAGAAAAGAGAGGGUGGCGGUUGGGUUCGGCGAGCGGCGGCGGUUUUGCUUCGCGAACGGAGAUGGAGACGGCAAUUCGGCGCGCGGGACGACUGCAACGCAAAUCUGGACUGGCAGCGGCACGGUCUUGCUUCGCGGCUGGGUAUGGUGAAAAAGAAAGAGAAACGGAAGAAGAGAAGUCUCGGGUGGCGGUUGCUGGGCUACGGCGGUUGCUGGGCUGCGGCGGAAGGAGAAAAUGGAAGGAAGAGAUCGGCGGAAAGAAGGAGAAGAUGGAUGGGAGUCACGAUCGCACGGGAAGAAGAAGGGAGAAAAGAAAAGAAAAGAAAAGAAGAAAAGAAAAAUAAUAAAGAAAUUUUUAAUAUAAAGUAAAAUAAAAAUAUAUAUAUAUAUAUAUAUAUAUAUAUUACCUUUUUGGGCAUUACAUUCUUCCCUCCUUAAGAAACUUUCGUCCUCGAAAGUUCUAAUCCUGAAAUAACUCUGGAUAACGAGUCCUCAUUUCUUCCUCUCGCUCCCAUGUCGCCUCUUCAAUUCGAUGAUUCCGCCACAAAACCUUUACUAAUGGAAUGCUUCUAUUACGAAGCAUCUUUACCUCUCUAGCCAAAAUCUCCACAGGUUGUUCAACAUAGCUCAAAUGCUCGUCAAUCUCCAAGGUUCAUAGUCCACUACAUGAGAUGUAUCGGCCACAUACUUCCUCAACAUCGAAACAUGGAAAACAUUAUGAACUGCAGAGAGAGAUGGUGGUAAUGCCAAGCGAUACGCCACAACACCAACCCUCUCUAAGAUCUCAAAUGGUCCAACAAAACGAGGACUUAACUUUCCCUUCUCAAAACGCAUAACACCCUUCAUAGGUGCUACCUUCAAGAAUACCUUUUCUCCCACAUCGAACUUAAGGUCUUUUCGCCGUACAUCUGCAUAACUCUUCUGUCUACUCUGCGCUGUUUGCAUACGCGUCCUAAUCGUUUGAAUAGCCUCAUUAGUAGACCGAACUAAUUCAGGUCCCAUCAAUCUAUGUUCACCAACCUCACUCCAACAAACAGGGGUUCUACAACAUUUGCCAUACAAAGCCUCAAAUGGUGCCAUACCGAUGGUAGCCUGGAAACUGUUGUUAUAAGCAAACUCCAUCAAAUGUAGAUGAGAGUCCCAACUACCUGGAAACUCUAUAACACAAGCUCGUAGCAUAUCCUCUAAAACUUGGUUCAAACGUUCAGUUUGACCAUCAGUCUGUGGAUGAAAGGCUGUACUGAAAUCCAAUCUCGUACCCAUAGCAGUCUGAAGUCCCUUCCAAAACUUGGAAGUAAACCGUGCAUCCCUAUCAGAAACAAUCGAUACAGGCACUCCAUGCAGUCUCACAAUCUCAGUUAAAUACAACUCUGCCCACUUACUAGCAGUAUAAGUGGAUUUUCCUGGUACAAAAUGUGCCGAUUUCGUAAGCCUGUCUAUGACAACCAGAAUCACUGUGAAACCCUUCAGGGUCUUAGGCAGCCCUGAAAUAAAAUCCAUCGACACAUUCUCCCACUUCCACUCUGGCACACUUAAGGUUGUAAUAAACCUGCUGGUUUCUGUCUAGGUGCCUUAACUUGCUGACAUACUAGACACUUACUAACAAAUUCCGCCACUUCCCUUUUCAUAUUCCGCCACCAAUAAAAUCGUUUUAGAUCCUGAUACAUUUUCGUGCUACCAGGAUGCAUGGAAAAUGGGGAAUUAUGGGCUUCAUCUAGUAAGUCAAUCUUAACUGUACUGUUCGCUGGCACACAUAAACGUCUCUCAAACAUCAACCCACCAUCAGAGGAUAUGGAGAACUCAUCAGUCUGCCCUGUUUCAACAAGGCGACGUCUCUCCAUCAAAUAAGGAUCAUUACUCUGAGCAUCAACAAUCUUGUGCCUCAGAGUCGGUUGCACCGUUAAUUGAGCUAGCUGUGAGGUGACUCUCCCCACAGACACUGCAAUCUCAGCUCUCUCCAAGUCUCGAUGCAAUGGUACCUGUCUAGUAAUGAGUGCUGCCGAAUGUGAUACUUUUCUACUAAGAGCAUCAGCCACCACAUUCGCCUUACCAGGAUGGUAUAAUAUCUCACAGUCAUAAUCUUUUACCAACUCGAGCCACCUUCGCUGUCUCAUAUUCAACUCCUUCUGAGUGAAGAAGUACUUUAGGCUCUUAUGGUCAGUAAAGAUUUGUAUCUUUUCACCGUACAAGUAAUGUCUCCAUAUCUUCAAUGCAAAAACCACUGCUGCCAACUCCAAAUCAUGUGUGGGGUAGUUCUGCUCGUGACUCUUCAACUGACGAGAGGCAUAAGCAACCACCUUACCUUUCUGCAUCAAAACACAACCCAGUCCUUUCUUGGAAGCAUCACUGUAAAUCACAAAACUUCCAGAUCCAUCUGGUACAGUAAGGACCGGUGCAGUAACUAACCUUUGCUUUAAGUUCUGAAAACUAUCCUCACAAGCUGGACUCCAAACAAACGGAGUUCCCUUCCUUGUCAACUGAGUCAAAGGAGUAGCCAAACGUGAAAAAUCCUCCACAAACCUCCGGUAAUACCCUGCUAAACCCAGAAAACUACGAACCUCACUAACUGUGAGGGUCGAGACCAACUGGUAACCGCUUCUAUCUUUGCAGGGUCUACUGAAACUCCCUCACUGGAAACCACAUGACCAAGAAAAGCCACCUGCUUCAACCAAAAUUCGCACUUAGAACUUAGCAUACAGUUUAUUGACUCGAAGAGUCUCUAACACCUUAUGUAAGUGUUCCUCAUGUUCGGCUUCAGUCUUGGAAUAAACCAAAAUAUCAUCAAUGAAGACUAUCACAAAAGUGUCCAAGAAAUCCUUAAACACCCUGUUCAUCAAAUCCAUAAAUACAGCAGGUGCAUUAGUCAAACCAAAAGACAUUACUAUGAAUUCAUAAUGUCCAUACCUCGAACGAAAAGCAGUCUUAGGAAUAUCACGGUCUCUAAUCCUCAACUGGUGAUAACCUGACCGUAAGUCAAUCUUAGAGAACACCGUGGCUCCCUGUAACUGAUCGAACAAAUCAUCGAUUCUGGGUAAAGGAUACCUGUUCUUGACUGUUACUUUAUUCAACUCUCUAUAGUCAAUGCAAAGACGCAUCGACCCAUCCUUCUUCUUCACAAACAAUACUGGUGCACCCCAAGGUGACACACUAGGUCGAAUAAAGCCUUUGUCAAGCAAUUCCUGUAACUGUACCUUCAGUUCUUUCAACUCAGCAGGAGCCAUCCUAUAAGGGGCUCUAGAAAUAGGAGUAGUGUUUGGCUCCAACUCAAUGGCAAAAUCAAUCUCUAUGUGGCGCAGUCCUGGAAGAUCUUUUGGAAAUACAUCUGGGUAUUCUCUUACCACAGGUUCUGAAGUUAAAGAAGUCUCACCUUCCCUAGUAUCCACCACACUUGCCAAAAUACUCCAAGUACCCUGGCUGAGUAGUUUACUAGCUUUCAUAGCUGAGAUUACUUUAGGCAGUACUACUGUUCCUACUCCCUUGAAUUUAAAGCUAGAUGCAGUAGGGGGACUAAACACAACUUCCUUACGAGAACAAUCAAUACUAGCAUGAUUAGUAGCUAGCCAAUCCAUACCUAAAAUUACAUCAAAGUCACGCAUAUCUAAUACCAACAAGGUUACGUCCAGCACACGACCAGCUAUCUCAAUUUCACAUGCUUUAAUCUUUUCCUUAGACAACAUAAUUUCUCCAGACGGUGUAGACACUGACAAAACAUAGUCUAAGGGUUCCACCUCUAAGCAUGCAUGCGUCACAAAAAGCGAUGAAAUAAAUGAAUGAGAAGAUCCCGAGUCAAACAAGGUCAAGGCAAAAUGCCCUAAUACUGGUAAUGUACCUGUCACUACUGUGCCGGCCUUCUCUGCCUCUGAUCUAUUAGUGGCAAAGAUUGUACCCCGCUGUGGAGGUCUCUCUCCCUGACUGCUCGAUCCAGCCCCAGUAGAUCUCAAGGGACACCUAUCAGCCAUGUGUCCCUCUUGCUUGCACUUAUAACAGACUCUCGUUCCCAUCAAACAACGACCCAGGUGGCGUUUCCCACACGUAUUACAUACUGGCCUCUCUUGAGUAGUGUCUCCUGCACCGCCAGAACUCUGCUGGAAACUGCGAAAAGAAUCACCUGGUCUCAUGUUCCUCUGAGGAACUCCUACAGUUCUCUGCUCUACUUUUCUCUUUUGACCGACGACGAUCCCUUAUUAAAGCUCCUUGGCUGUCUUUCAUCCUUCCCAAUACUCAUAUCCACUGCCAGACGCAGUGCUUCAGCUUGGGUAGUGGGCUUUAGUGCUCGCACAAAACCCCUAAUUUCAUCUCUCAAUCCCUUGACGAACCUAUCAGCUCUAGCCUGCUCAUUACUAACAAGCUCAGGGGCAAAACGUGACAGCAUAUCAAACUCCUGGUCGUACUCCUCGACUGUCAUAUAUCCUUGCUUCAACUCCAAGAAUUCCUGGCUUUUGGCGUCUCUAAGGUUAGCCGAGAAAAACUUGGUAUAGAAGCAGUUCUUAAACUGAUCCCAGGUAAUUUGCCUCACAUCUCCACCUAGCAUGCGCAUUGUAGUCCUCCACCAGAUAAUGCCUCUGUCCCUCAGUAGAAAAGCAGCACACUGAACUCUGUGCUCCUCGGACAUCUCAUGUAAUUAAAUAUGGUUUCCACAGAGGACAACCACAUUUCAGCUUUAGUAGGAUCCUCCAGUGACCCAUCAAACGUCUGAGGGUCAUACUUCCGAAAGUCCCUCAAAUGUUUCGCCUCAGCAGAAAGUUGGUUAGGUAAUUCUUGUGCAGGAGGGGCUGCUGGUGCAGGGGAACUACAGGUGCAGGUGGAACCAGGUGCCUGCUGGUUUUGAGCUAUAGCUGUCAUAAGUUCUGUAAACCUCUGCUCCAUGUGAGCAGACAGUGCAUCAAACUCAACGUGAGUCACGGGUGCAGCAGGAAUUCGCUGUUCAGCUUGACCCUCAGUAGGCUGAUUACGACCUGCUCCUCUACCUCGGCCUCCUGCUCUCUACGACCUCCUCUACGUACUUCUUCCCUUGGCGGCAUAAUUCCUAUUACCACCAACAACACUCUUUAACAAAAUCUUAAUCAUAAACAUAAGCAAGUCUUUAUCGUCAUGCAAUCUAGUUUAAUUUAGGCAAGGUCAUGCAAAUAAACCAUACAUAUAAGCAUCAAGCAUACCUGACGAGAGACGAAGGGUCGCGUUAGCCAUAGGAACACAAAAACAUAGACUUACAUCGUAAGUCAGUCUACAGAACCUAAAACUUAGGCUCUGAUACCAACUGUAACGACCCAACUUUUCUAGGUAAGUCGAGGUCAUUAAUUUUUAAUAAAAGACUUUAUUGAUACAAAAUGAAACGUAAGUCAAUUUAAAACAAUCUAUGUCAGGCCUGAUUUUCAAAUAUUCAAGAAAACUUAAAAAUAACACUAUUUACAAAUAAAAGUUUGUAAACUAAGUUUUAGUACAUCUUAAACCUUAAAAGAAACCAUAAGCGGAAGCAAAAUGACACAGUUCCUAUGGAAUCACGCUUCCUUCCUCCCCCUCGCCGGUUUGCCACCUUUAUUUCCUUUGCCUGAAAAUUAAACAUAAGAAGGGUGAGUAUAACAAUACUCAGUAAGAGACCCUUACUGUCUCCGUCAGGGAAAAAUAAUUGUUAAAGUUCUAUUGGGACACCCUGUACAGUCGCAGUCUUGUGAUCGCGUAGGAUACACAUUUCAGUCUAACGCCCCGAAGGACGUACAUAUCAGUCUAACGCCCCGAGGGACGUACAUAUCAGUCUAACGCCCCGAGGACGUACAUAUCAGUCUAACGCCCGAGGGACGUUCAUAUCAGUCUAGUGUUCUGCAGAAACACAUAUCAGUCAAAUGCUCCCGAAGGUGCAAAAUAAAUUGGUGAUCCUGGGACACCUACAAGGUAAACAUCCCAAUACACAACCUAACAAUUUAUCCCUCAUUCCAUUCAACCCAUCUUUCAGUUACUUCAAAUCACAAAGUCCUUUCUUCAACAUCCUAACAGUCAACUUAUUUUACUACAAUCAUAUGUCUGUCAAUAAUAUGCUAAUACAUCAGUCAAUUCACUAUACAGUCAAGUCAAUACACCCCUCAGUUCACCAGCACAAACCACAGUUCAGUAUAAUCCACAUCCACACCGAACAAAUUCACUAGUUCACAUCCAAUCUUUAUACAGCACAAUCUAUUAAUAUCAUCAUGUACACUAAGCAUAAUUUCAGUCAUUCACAUGUAUACUUUCGCAAUCCACAUCAAUUCACACAUCAAUGUAUAUAUAUAUGUUUCCAGUCAAAUACAACAUACACUAAACAUUUAGUCUGCAAUCAAACAUGUACAUCUUAAUCAUCAUCCAUACAGUCCAACACAACUCAAAAACUUUAGGUGAGUCCAGUAGAAAAUCCCUUACCUCACUUUUAUGCAGUUCUUCAAUCUACUAAAUCCAAUGAAUCAAAUCCUAACAUAAUCAAUCAUAAAAUCAACAUCUUCUAAAUAGUUUCAACCAUUCAAAUUACCCCAUAUGUAAAUUCACAACUUACCCAAGAAGUGAGAGAAUCAAGUCCACUUCAACCUUUUGGAAAAUCAAGGAUUCGCUCACUGAAUCAAGAUGUACCUUCAAGAAUUAAGCAUUUCGCCAACAAUUAAAUCCAAUGGCAGCAUCCAACAAAAACCAAGAAACCAACAAAAACCAUAACUUGUUCUUACCCAAAUAUGAGCCCAAUGGUUCACGACGAGGCAGAUCUGGACGACGAUUUGCUUUCCGAGGAGGCACGACGGUUGUGAGCGAAGAGGCACGGCAGUUACAGGCAGAUGGCGCGCGACGGUUUAGAUCUGAAGAAGAAAGAGAGGGUGGCAGUUGGGUUCGGCGAGCGGCGGCGGUUUUGCUUCGCGAACGGAGAUGGAGACGGCAGUUCGGCGCGCGGGACGAUGCAACGCAAAUCUGGACUGGCAGCGGCACGGUCUUGCUUCGCGGCUGGGUAUGGUGAAAAAGAAAGAGAAACGGAAGAAGAGAAGUCUCGGUGCGGUUGCUGGGCUACGGGCGGUUGCUGGGCUGCGGCGGAAGGAGAAAAUGGAAGGAAGAGAUCGGCGGAAAGAAGGAGAAGAUGGAUGGAGUCAGAUCGCACGGGGAAGAAGAAGGGAGAAAGAAAAGAAAAAGAAAAAGAAGAAAAAAAAAUAAUAAAGAAAUUUUAAUACUAAAGUAAAAUAAAAAUAUAUAUAUAUAAUAUAUAAUAUAUAUAUAUAUAUUUACCUUUCUUUGGGCAUUACAUUUUUUUUUUAAUUUUAGCAAAUAACAUUUUUUGCACGUGCAUAAUAUUUAUAAAAUACCAAAAUAUCCACAUUCUCCAACUAAAAUUAUUUUGUUUCUAUGUUGUAAUUAAUUUAUAUUAUGCAUUUAUCAACUUUUAAUUAUUUUUUACCUGAAAAAAGAUACAUAAACUCAUAUAUAUACUUUUUUCUUAAUAUCUCGGGACUCAACUAAUGGAUUCAAGACUUUAACUUUAUUUAAUCUUACUAAUUUCAAAAUAACCUAAUUGAAUUUGAAUUUCAAAAUAACCAAAUUGAAUUUCAACAUAACAAAAUUAUUAUUUUUCAAAUUUGAUAAUCUCAGAAAUAGAUUUUGUAUCAAAAUAACUUUAAUUGAAUUUCAAAAUUAAAAAAUAUCAACUUAUUCACUCUUUAUCUCACAAUAAUAUUAAUGGCUUGAAUAUCAAGAUAAUUAAAUUAUUGUUUUUAAAAUUGGGAGAAACUCAACAUUAAAAAAUAUCAACUUAUUCACACACAAUCACACGCGCACACACAUACAUACACUUGCACGCACGUGCACCCAUACACGCACACACACACGCGUGCACACACACACACACACACAAACGCACACAUGCACACGCACACCAAACCGCACGCACACAAAUACACACACACACGCACACUAAUGGUUCAAUUUCAUCGAUUGUUCCUAUUUUUCUGACAGUUUAUUUUUGCCAUCGAUAGAGGAUCUUCCGACAGACCUGCGUGACGGUGUGUGUUGACAGCUUAAUUUCGUUGGCAAAAGAAAAGUCGAUUAGUUUUUGAAGAUUUACUGACGAUAUUUGUCAUCGACAAAGGGUAAAUUUCUUGUAGUGCAUGUACAUCAAACAUAUCAAAUUUGUUAAGUGUACCAAUGAAGUAUAAGAAGUUUAUUAGUGGUGUAUCAAGCGUAUCAAACUUAUAAGUGAAGUCUUUAAGUGUAUCAAACUAAUCAAGUGUAUCAAGGUCUCAGGGUAUCAAGUGUAUCAAGAAGAAUCAAGUGUAACGAGAAGUAUUAUGUGGAACGAGAAGUAUUAUGUGUAUGAAGAUGUUUCAGGUGUGUAUCAAAAAGUAUCGAGUGUAUCAAUGAGUACCGAGUGCAUGAAUUGUAUCUAUCAAAUGUAUCAAGUGUAUCAGUAAGAAAUAUCAAGUGUAUCAAGCGGUAUUAGGUGUAUCAGACGUGUAUAAGGUGUAUCAAAUGUACAUCAAUAACGAGGGCAUUUGUGACAUUUUACCUCUUGAUGUGUGAGUUGGUCUUUGUUUUUGUCAUUUUCUCAAAUAAUAAAGUAUGUGUUCUAUGAACUUAAUUAUUAUAACUUACACUACUACAAAAACAGGCUCUCUUGACGUUUGCAGUUUUCCUUUCUUGACGUUUUUUUCAAAAAACGUCAAGAAAGAUUUCAUUUUUAAUAAAAAACGUCAAGAAAUUUUUUGAAACAUCAUUCUUGACGUUUAUUAAAUGUCAAGUAAAAUAAAUUUUUCUUUGACGUUUUUAAAACAUCAAGAAAUAUCUAUUAAUUUUUUGACGUUUUAAAACGUCAAGAAGCGUAUGAAUUCGACAUGCUUGACGUUUCUUAAACGUCAAGAAUUUAAAAUUUUACUCGACGUUUUAAAAACGUCAAGAAAUUCAUAAAAUAUUCAAGAAUAUUUUUUAAAUUACACUGAGAAGGUAUCGAAUUUUAAUUUUCAGCUCUAACAUUUUUCCUAAUCUACUUUUUUCUUCUUCACGACUGAGUAUUCGAGGGAGUCAUUUUUUGAAUUUGUUGACAUUUUUUAAACGUUAAGUAAGAUCAUUUUUUUUUUUACAUUUUAAAAAUGUCAAGUGUUAUUAAAUAAAUAUAAAAAAUAUAUUGGGCUAAUUUUAUUUCUUUAAAAUCUCUUUAAAUAUAUAGAUACAAUAAUAAAAAUCUCUUUAAAUAUAUAGAUACAACAAUAAAAAUUUCUUUAAAUAUAUAUAGAAAAAAAAUAUUGUACUAAUAUUAUUCAGAAUCACUUUAAAUAUAUAUAGAAAAAAUUAUUGUGCAAAUAUUAUUUUUUAAAAAGCCCUAGCCCCUUUCUACUCAAAACACGCGUGUUCCCCUUUCCCUCUCCAGCCGAAAUCCUUCCCAUUCGAAAAAAGUGUGUUCAGCAGUCGUCGUUCGCUUUCAACGCCUAUCCGUUCGCCUUCAACGUCUGUCCGUUCGAUUUCACCGUCGAGUUCCACCUCUUCGAAUCCCUCACGUCCGUCGUUUCAAAGUCCUUCGUCCGCUGCAUUCCAUCUUUCCAAAAUCCCUCAGUGCCUCACGCUACUGCGUGCCCGUCAUUUCGACUUCACCAACGAGUGCCUCACGUUCGUUGCUUCAAAAUCCAUCAUCCACUAAGUUGAGGUUAGGCUUUUAUUUCCCUAAAACAUAUAACAAUUUCAUUAUUCUUCAUUAUAUAAACUCAGAUGGCAUGAUUGGCAAUAAUAGAUAGGAAGGAUGGAGGUGUAAACUUCGAAUUGAUUGAAAUUCGUAUACUUUUAUUCAAUCUUUAAAGUACUGUAGUUUUUCUUCACCAUCAAAUUUUAUUAGGAUUUAAAGAAAACAAAUGAAUGUAUGAACAAAUUUUUGGGAGUGCAUGUCAUAUAAUCAACUUCCCUCUUUCAGUAAUUUUGAAGAUCUCAUAUAACAAUACUACUAAUUGAGAGCUUUGGAGGAUGAGUCAAUUCUUCUCCCUUCGUGAAAAGAAAAAGAAAAAAAGAUCAUGUAUUCUCUUUGUUUGUUACCUUAUGUUGUCCAAGGUUUUGCCUUCUUCCUUAAUAAUUUGGAGGUGUUUUAACUAAUUUUUUCAUUCACCCUCUUUUUGCCAUAGUUGCUUUUGUGUGCAGCUUGAGAUUUUUAAUUCAAUUGUGUGUUUUUACUUUUUUCUAUUGGGUGAAUUCUGUUUUGACUUUUUUUAAGCUAAAUAUAAUUAAUUGUUUCCUAUGGAACCAUAACCUUGAUCUUGGUUAUAGAUUUCAUUUUAAGGUAAAAGUAAAACACUCUUAUUUGAAUGAUUAUGUUGUAUUAUCCAUUGAAAGACUUGGUGUUGUAAUUGCCUUGUCUUCCUCAGGUAUUCUGUUGUAUGGUUGAUUACGAUCUUCAUGAUUGGAAUCUUUGUUUAGUGAAGCUCAUUUUGUUUGAUUUACUCAGUCGUGCAAUUGCUUUCUUUUUUAUGAUCACUUUAAAAAAGAAAUGAGUUUAGUUAGUUCUUUUAAUUUUCUUAAGUUUCAUUUGUAAUGCAUGAAAAUCUCUUAGCAGUAGAAACUGAAGACCAUAAUUGUAGAAGAUUUGUAUAGAUUGGAUUCACAUUCUCAACAUUGGUUAUACAGGCAUUACUUAUCAUUGUCCUUCCACUUUAAUUAUCAAUAGUGACAAUAACUUUAUUUCUCAUUAGAUUUACAAUGAUGGAUAAAUCUUGGAUGCACAAGAGUAGAUUGUCUAAAGAUUAUGAGUUGGGUGUGGAAAACUUCAUCAAAUUUGGAUUUUCUAAUACAACUAGCUCCUAUAUUCGUUGUCCUUGUUUGAAAUGUGGGAAUUGUGAAAAACAUAGUAGAAAGGGUGUUAGAGAUCACUUGUAUGUUAAUGGUAUUGAUGAAAGUUAUAAAUUUUGGUUUUGGCAUGGGGAAGAACUUCCUAACUCAUCCUUCUAUGAUGAAUCUUCAAAGUUUGACACCCAUACAUGUGAAGAUCAGGAUGUUGGAAGUGUAAAAGAAAUGAUUGAAGUUGCUCAUGAGGAGUAUUCAAAAGACCCAACUGGAUUUGAGAAGUUGCUUAUUGAUGCUGAAAAACCAUUGUACGAAGGAUGCAAAAAGUACACAAAGUUGUCUACUCUAGUCAAAUUGUAUAAUUUAAAAGUUAGGUAUGGAUAGAGUGAUACUAGUUUUUCAGAAUUACUUGAAACUUUGAAGGAAAUUCUGCCUAAUACCAAUGAGCUCCCGAAUUCAUUGUAUGAAGCAAAGAAAACAUUAGGUGCAUUAGGAAUGGAAUAUGAAAAGAUUCAUGCAUGCCCGAAUAAUUUUGUCUCUAUAGAAAAGAAUUUGCUAAUGCAAUUGAAUGUCAUGAAUGUUGUCAAUCAAGGUGGAAAAACGUCAAGGAUACAAAUGAAAGGAGAAAGCAAAUUCCCUCUAAAGUGAUAUGGUACUUUCCAAUCAUUCCACGAUUUAAAAGGCUAUUCAGAAGCAUUGAAUGUGCUGAAAACUUGACUUGGCAUUCUACUGAAAGAAUUAAUGAUGGUAAGUUACGACAUCCAGCCAGACUCUCCAGCAUGGAAGUUAGUAGACAUGAAAUGGCAAGACUUUGGUUCUGAACCCAUAAAUCUUCGUUUAGCAUUGUCAGCCGAUGGAGUAAAUCCUCAUGGUGACAUGAGUUCUAAAUACAGUUGUUGGCCGGUAGUGAUGGUUAUUUACAAUCUUCCACCAUGGUUGUGUAUGAAAAGAAAGUACAUGAUGCUAUCAAUGCUAAUUUCAGGACCAAAACAACCAGGGGAUGACAUAGGCAUAUACUUAGCACCACUAAUUGAAGAUUUAAAACUUUUAUGGGAAAGUGGUGUUGAAUGUUAUGAUGCUUAUCGAGAAGAACCAUUCAACUUAAGGUCAGUUUUGUUGUGGACAAUCAAUGAUUUUCCUGCAUAUGGUAACCUUAGUGGAUGUUGUGUGAAAGGGUAUAAAGCAUGCCCAAUUUGUGGAGAUAAUACAAAUUCUAUAAGGUUAAAGUAUGGGAAGAAAAUGGCAUACCUUGGACAUCGUAGAUUUUUGGCACGAAAUCAUCUGUAUCGACGACAAAAGAAGUCAUUCAAUGGUAAAAAAGAACUUGAUACAAUUCCAGAGCCACUUUAUGGGGAGGAUGUGUAUUUAAAAUUGAAAGAUCUUGAAUUUUCUAGAGGGAAGAAGAACCAUAAGAAACGGUUGAUGAACAGAAGUGACAAAAUUUGUUGGAAUAGAUUAUCUUCUUUUUUUGAGUUGCCAUACUGGAAGGAUCUUCAUGUUAGACAUUGUUUAGAUGUGAUGCACAUUGAAAAAAAUGUUUGCAUGAAUAUCUUAGGUACAUUUCUUGAUAUUCCUGGAAAAAGUAAGGAUGGAUUGAAUGCUAGACGCGAUUUAGUUGAUCUAAAACUUCGACCAGAGCUUGCCCCUAUCAGAAUAUGUUACUCCUACUAAUUACUUUCAUUAUGUAAAAAAGACAUCUAAACGUGAGGAUGAGAUUAUACUUGAGAAUAAAGAACUUCGAAGGCGUGUAAGCGAAUUAGAAGCACAUAACCACUCAAACUUGUCUAGACCAUUAUCUGGACAUGGUAGCUGUUCGAAGCCAAAUAUCUUAGAAGAGAGUGACUCGAUGAAAAUAAUCAAAGGGAAGAGUAAGUUGAUGGAUAAAAUCGAAGGGAAAGAGGUGGAGGAGAUCAAUGUAAAUGACGACAAAGUAGAGUUGGACAUCUUUAAGGUAUGUGAUCGAUCCUCUAAUAAACUCAAAUUCUUAAUAUUCAUAUCAUAUUGAAAGUGAAUGUUUUUCUUGAAUUAGGAGAGAGCCUUAAUAAAAAUGACUAAGGAAAAAGAGGUUGUCUGUGAAUCGACGUCAGUUUUGCCAAUGGGAAUGAAGUUGAUUCUCAUAUACGUUGAGAAGAUAAUGGAGAAAGAUUCUAGUAUCACUAUUCCACUACUGUUGGCAUUUUUGGUAUUAGUCGAAAGACUUCUGUUCUCCGAGAGGACAUCAUUGAUCUUUGUAACAUGAAUGAGGUCAAAACAUUUACAUUGGUGGCCUAUAUGACGUAAGUAUCAAUUUCAUUUCUUUAGAUCUAAAUUUAUGUAUCUCGUUUACAAGUUUAUAAUAUUUUGUAGGUACUUGUAUUCAUCUGUUCUUGGUUCGAAGGAAACUAUACAGUAUGUCUUUGUAGAUCCAUCCCUCACCUCUGUCGGACACUCGCAAGAAUCUCGAGUUCGACACUUAUGCAGUAGAUUGAUGGUCUCAAAGAUUAACGAAAUAGUUCUUGCUCCUUUUAAUCCUGGGUAAGUCAAGUUAUUUUAUUACUUGCAUUGCAAAAAACUAGUACUAAUAUUUUGUAUAAUUAGGGGUCAUUGGGCACUGCUGGCCAUAAAUGCAUAUGAUGAUAUAGUAUUUUACCUCGACUCACUAAGGACAACAUCGAAGUCAACUAUAAGAUACGUCACCGACACGUAAGUUAAUCUAGUAUUUCAUUUAGUGUUGAUUCUUAUAUGCAUGUACACAAUAUUUAAACUAUUUGUUCAAUCUUAUCUUGUCAAAACAGAGCAAUAGCGAUGUUUCAGUCACAAAAGAACAUUAAAAAAAGUAGAAAACAAACUUUAUGGCUAACAGUAAAGGUAAGUAUCAACUUUUAAAGUCAUUAAAUUUUUGUAGACUACUAGCAAUUAGGAUUACUUUGUUAUUCAAAUUUGUUGCUUUUAUAUAGUGUCCACUGCAAGGAAGUAUUGAGUGUGGAUACUAUGUGAUGAGGUAUAUGAGAGAAAUUGUGACUAGGGGAAGCAUUGUCAUAUCCGAUGCGGUAUGUUAUAUAUCAAACUAUUGGUUUUGUGAGUUAAUUGGUUUAUUUGUAUAGUCAGUUAAUUCAUUUAAUUUAUUUUGUAUGUUUAUUGAUUGAUACACGAAGAUCAUACUCACAGGCAGAACUACACGAGGUGCGAGUUGAGUUAGCUGACUUUUUGGGUUCUUACAUAUGAUUAUGACCAAUAUUUUGUGAUUCUGAAGUAGGAAAUUUUUUGUUGUGUCGCUUCUUUAUGACCCUAAACUUUAUGUAUAGAAACUUUAGCCGAUAAUUCUUUUGAAUUGUUCAUAUGGAGGAAGGGGGGAGGGGGGUUCAUUCGUAUAUAUUUUUAUUAUUGUUAUAGCUAGCAUGUUUUGUGACUUUUUAAGUUGAUUUGGAUUCAUGGCAAUGUAAUGCCAUAUGAAAUCUAAUGUAAAGCCUAUUUCAUUAUGUAUAUGUAAAGUCUUGGAAUUGAAUAUAUAUGGUGAAUGGUUUUAUUUAUAUAUGUUUGAGAUUUGAAACUAUAUUUGAUGAAUAUCAAAUAUCUAUGAAACUGUUGUGGACAAUUACAGGAUAAUUACAGGACAAUCAGAAUAUAUUUCUUUCCAUUACAGCAUAAUUCAAUUACAAUUUCUUUUUUUAAAAAAAAUUAAAAAAUGCUUGACGGUUUUAAAAUGUCACGAACAAUUGCAAGCUUGACGGUUUUAAACUGUCAUGAACAAUUGCAUUUUUACGGUUGACAAAUGUCAAAACAAUUACAUUCUUGACAGUUUUAAAAUGUCAUGAAUAGUAAAAUUCUUGACGGGUUUAAAAUGUCAUAAACCAGUUCAUCCUUGACGGCUUUAAAAUGUCAUAAACAAUACCAGUCCUGACGGUUCUAAAACGUCAUGAACAUAAGUAUAUUUGACGUUUAUAAAACGUCAACGUUCACUAUUCUUGACGUUUAAUCAACCGUCAAGAACUUUGCCUUUCUUGACGCUGGCUUCAACGACGUUUUUAAAACCGUCAAGAGAGCCGUCUCUUGAAGUUUAAAAACGUCAAGAGAGCCUGUUUUUGUAGUAGUGUUAUUUUGCCAUUUUCGCAAGUGUCCCUUAAUUGUAAUACAUGUAUAUGUGACAUAAUCUAAUCAAACUAACCAUAAAUGGACUUAAUGUAUCAGGUAUUAGGUGUAUCAGACGUGUAUAAGGUGUAUCAAAUGUACAUCAAUAACGAGGGCAUUUGUGACAUUUUACCUCUUGAUGUGUGAGCUGGUCUUUGUUUUUGUCACUUUCUCAAAUAAUAAAGUAUGUGUUCUAUGGACUUAAUUAUUAUAACUUAUUUUGCCAUUUUCGCAAGUGUCCCUUAAUUGUAAUACAUGUAUAUGUGACAUAAUCUAAUCAAACUAACUCAUAAAUGGACUUAAUCGAUCUCAUGGACCACGAAUUCUUCAAUUACUUGCAAAUUUGGUGAGUUCCUUCAAACAGUGGGCGAAGAGCUUAAUUUUGAGAGAGAGGAAAAGUCGUGAAGAGUAUAUGCGAGAGAGGGGGAACGUGCCAGAGAGCAUUUGCGAGAGAGCUAAAGACAGCGACGAUGUGGGAUGAAGUAAGGUUUUUUUCGGUCGUUGUUCACAGUGGGAUGAAAGCUUCGAAUUAUUUGUUUUAAAUCAAAAGGCGUAAUGAUUGAAGGAAAACAUUUAUUUUUUAUUAGGGUAAUUUUUAAUGACACAUAAUUUAUGUCAUUAAUUAACAAUGCGAAAAUUUUGUCAAGAAAACUCAAUUUGUGUCACGAAAAAUUUUGUAUUUUUAUUUUUAACGACACAUUUUAUUCCCUCAUGUCCCUUUUUCUUGAUUUCAAGUGUCAUUAAAACUUAUUGUUGAAUAAGAAAUUUUGAGACCAAUCACAAGUUGCCACAUCAUUUAUUAAGUUAAUGAUGAAAAGUACAAAUAAUUAAAUUUGGGACUAAUUAAAAUUGACAUAUGCUCCAAAUUAAAGAGUUGAAAAUAAAUAAAAUGGUCAUUCUAAUAAUGCCACAUGUUUUCAUAUUAAUAGUUGGAUUAAGUUAAUCAUUUUAGUUCAAUUAAAUAUUAUUUACUUGGACUAAGUUCAAUUAAGCCCAAAAAAUAAGCUUAAUUGAGCCCAAAGACUAAAUAUAACCUAAGUCCAUAUGGUUGAGCCCAUGCGUCUGGUCCAUGGACCAACUAGGUUCAAACCCAUAAAGCCCACCAGUGAACUCUAUAAAUAGAGGAAUUCUCCUCAUUUGUAGGGGUUGGAAAAUAUUGACUCUAGAAGAUCCAGAGAGAAUUCUUCAAAGAGCUAGAAGACUCCCUAACUCCUGAAGUUGACCAUCCUCGAAGAUUGAAGCUUCUUUAAAGAUACAAGCUUUCUUCCAAGGCUUCAACUUCAAGAACAUCACGUGCUUCGCUUCCUCCAAAUCAAGCUGAAGCAUCCAGUUGAGAGAGAAUCAGAGGAUCAAAUUCUAGAGAUUGAACCGCAUCGCAUCAAAUCAACAAAAAUACAACAUCAACUCAAGUUCAAGUCCACGAAUUAAAUUUCUCCAGAAAUCUCGUGCGAACAAAUUGGCACGCCCAGUGGGACCAUCUCUACCUCUCAUCUCUCUCUCAUCAUCUAGAUCUACAAGCAAAUCAAUGGCAUCAAAGAAAGUUGCAUCCAAAUCUUCAGCUGCAAGCGACACCUACACGGGACCUAUCACCUGUAGUCGUUCCAAGGGGAUCAUCCAAGGGCAAGACCAAGGUUCCGCCAUCGCGCAGAGCAUCCUGAAGCAAUUAAUGGAAUCUCCUAAAGCUGGAAUUGUCAUCAAGGAAAAUCCUCUAUAUAAUGAUUAUGAUUCUGCCUCUAGCAGGUCACUGAAAGAAGCACACCCAGAUGUGAUGUCCGUCAUGAUGGCUGAUGUAGCAGUCGAGACUGCCAUGGCGGAGAUGGAGAGAAAAUUAAUCUCCUGAUGAAGGUUGUUGAUGAACGAGACCACGAAAUUACAGCUUUAAAGGAGCAGAUGCAGACUCGUGAAACUCUGAAUCGAGUCAAACUUGUCGUUAAAGUUGAUGACAAAGGGAAGAACGUGGUACAAGAAAAUCAGCCACAACAACAAUCAACUUCUGUGGCUUCUCUCUCGGUUCAACAAUACAAGAUAUGAUCACAAACUCCAUCAGAGCACAAUAUGGAGGCCCAUCUCAGACUUCUUUCAUGUACUCUAAACCAUACACCAAAAGAAUCGACAACUUGAGAAUGCCGCUUGGAUAUCAGCCUCCAAAAUUCCAGCAGUUUGACGGAAAGGCAAUCCAAAACAGCACGUUGCUCACUUCGUCGAAACAUGUGAGAAUGCAGGAUCAAGAGGAGAUCAACUAGUCAGACAAUUUGUUCGAAGCUUGAAAGGAAAUGCUUUUGAAUGGUAUACUGAUCUGGAGCCAGAAAGCAUUGAGAGUUGGGAACAACUAGAAAAGGAGUUUCUCAAUCGCUUCUACAGCACCAGGCGUACUGUAAGCAUGAUGGAGCUUACAAAUACGAAACAAAGAAAGGGAGAACCAGUCAUCGACUACAUCAAUAGAUGGAGAGCUCUAAGUCUUGACUGUAAAGAUCGGCUCACCGAACUGUCGGCUGUAGAAAUGUGCACCCAAGGCAUGCACUGGGGACUCCUCUACAUUUUGCAGGGAAUAAAGCCCCGCACAUUUGAAGAACUGGCAACUCGAGCUCAUGAUAUGGAGUUGAGCAUCGCCAGUAGAGGAACUAAAGAUUUUCUUGUUCCUGAAGUAAAGAAAGAUAAGAAAGAGAUGAAAGGUGCUGAAAAGAUAGUGAAAAGCACCGCGAAAGAAUCUAUGGUCGUAAACACAACCCCGCUGAAAUUCUCCAAAGGAAAGGAAGCGAGGGUUGAAAAGAAGGAUGAUGGAAGCGAAAGGCGACGUCUGACUUUAAAAGAAAGGCAGGAAAAAGUUUACCCAUUUCCUGAUUCAGAUAUCGCUGACAUGCUAGAGCAACUACUAGAGAAGCAGCUGAUCCAGCUGCCAGAAUGUAAACGACCUGAGCAAGCAGGAAAGGUAGAUGAUCCCAAUUACUGCAAGUAUCAUCGGGUCAUCAGUCAUCCAGUAGAGAAAUGCUUCGUGCUGAAGGAGCUAAUUCUAAGGUUGGCUCGUGAGAAAAGGAUUGAGCUAGAUUUGGAGGAAGUAGCUCAAACAAACCACGCUGAAGUGACGAUAAUGUCUGAGGCUUCUUCGUCGAGAUUGAUUUUUGAGCAAAGGAAAAGCUUGGUCCAGUUCGGGACCUUUGAGCCUAUAGUUGUCCAAUUCUUUCAGGAAAUCUCAUACGAGGAUCCUCAAGGAGAGAAAAGACCAAUCGAAGAAGACGAUGAAGGGUGGAUAGUGGUGACCCACCGAAAGAAAAGACAGUCGAUCCCGACCCAAAGAGAGUCUCGCUCUUACCAAAACUAUAGAAGAGGAAAUAAGACUCAAAAGAAUAAGAAAAAGAAGAAGACUCAUAAGCUUAAGCUCGUACAUAAUGAAGACAUGAAUUUCUCUCGACCUCAACGCUUAGUGACCUUGCAGACUUCCUUCCAAAAAGCUUCCUUUGUGAUCAUCAGGAUGAAGACCCAGAAGUCGUUGCGUGUCAUGCUAUCAACACAACGGAGGAAGAAAUAAUCCCUCCAAGAUCACUAGAAGGAGAGGGAGUAUCAAAAGACCUUUCAAGGUUUAAUGUAGAGGAUCUAUUAUCACUUCCUCAAGAGACCAAAACCAUCCUUAUUGAUGCAUUGCUAAAUUCAAGAGCAUCAAGUUCGAGUACUCCGACUAUGACAUAUGAGAGUGGUUCUUAUUGUAUGUCUAUAGACUUCUCAGAUGAGGAUUUGUUGUUGGGAUCUAAACUUCAUAAUAGACCUUUGUAUGUUUCUGGAUACGUUCGAGAACAGAGAGUCGAUCGAAUCCUCAUUGAUAAUGGCUCAGCUGUCAACAUAAUGCCAAAGUCGACUAUGUGGCAAUUAGGCAUCUUGAUGGACGAGCUCUCAAAUAGCAAGCUAGUAAUUCAAGGUUUUAACCAAGGUAGCCAAAGAGCAAUAGGCAUGAUACGGUUAGAACUCAUAAUUGGCGACCUAAAGGCCAGUGCAUUGUUUCAUGUCAUAGACUCAAGGACUACUUACAAGUUGUUACUAGGGCGUCCUUGGAUUCAUGGAAACGGAGUAGUAACUUCAACACUGCAUCAGUGCUUCAAAUUUUAUCAGGACGGUGUAAAGAAGGUUGAAGCCGACUCUAAUCCAUUCUCAGAAGCUGAGUCUCACUUCGCAGAUGCAAAGUUUUAUUCAAAGAAUAAUAAUAUUUUAGAAGUUUUGCCUGCAGAAACCCCUCUUACAAAAGGAGAAGAUAAUUCACAACUGAAAUCACUCGCAACCACAGAACCACAUGAAAGUGCGAGAACCUUUAACUCUGGAAAGGGUGAAGCAUACACUAGCAGCACAAAGGGUAUGAUCUUGAAGGAUGAAAAUGCUGCAAACACACCAGUUUUGCGUUAUGUCCCUCUGUCAAGGCGCAAGAAAGGCGAAUCACCAUUCAUGGAGUCUCCAAAAGGUUUGAAAGUUGGUGACAUCGAAAUCAUAAAAGAAAGCUUCACUACACCACUAACUAAGAUAGCGAAGCAGGAGGUAAAGGUAGAUCUGGUGGAAGCAAACUUGCCCCAAAGGCGAACGAAAGACGGAUUCGACCCCAAGGCUUACAAAUUGAUGGCGAAAGCAGGUUAUGACUUCACAGCUCACACCGAGUUUAAAAGCUUGGAAAUUCAUGACCGACCUGAGCUCUCCUCAACUCAAAAGAAGCUUCUACGGAAGGACAUUCUAUACCCGUGUCGAGAAAAGGACUCGGAUACAAGUCGCCAGAACCGAUCCGUAUAACUAAAAAGGGAAGGAAAAAGUGGUUGACAUCAAUCAUAUAACUAUAGAGGAUGACAAUACUGACGUAAAAGAAGGUGAUAAUCAGAGAAUCUCAGUAUUUGAUCGAAUUAGACCAUCUGUUGCACGUCCCGUAGUAUUUGAAAGGCUAAGCAUGACAGAGGCAGAAAGAGAAAGGCUCCAGUCAGUACCAAACCUUGAGAGACAUUCGGUCUUUCGAAGGCUAACUACGACUCCCAUAAAGGAAGAAAGCACAUGCCAUGCCUUGACAACUACAAGACCAUCAGCCUUUGAAAGGCUAGGUGUGUCUAAAAAAAAAAUGUACAAGCACCCCGUGCUCCGAUUUUUAAUCAUCUCGGGGAUAAAGGAUCACACGACAACAUUGAUUCCAACAUAGCAAAGAAGAAGGAACCAAUGUCUCGUGUGAAAGUUUGGCGUCGAAUUAAGCAUACAGAUGUCGAUAAUUAUCGUAGUAAGAAGUUUCCUUGCGAGACAAAGGAAAAUGGAGAAAUUCAUAGCAACGUUCCUUCUCGCAUGAAAAGAAAAACUUUUGUUACUCUCAAUACAAGUCAAGGUUCGUUAAAGGUAAAAAGACAUGAUGUUAUACUAACGAAUCCUGAAAAAGAAGGGUCGGAACAAGGGGAAGGUGAAACUUCAUGUCAUCACAUCACCAUUAUUGAGGAAUCAGAGACUGGAACUCAUGAAGAAGACGCAGAAAAUGCCCCACAAAGUUUAGAGGAUGGUGGUCAAUCUACUGUAGACGAGCUAAAAGAGGUGAACCUUGGUACAAUAGAGGAACCACGUCCGACUUUCAUUAGUGCGUCCCUCUCUAACGAAGAGGUGGAUAAAUAUAUGAGUUUGCUCACCGAAUACAGGGACAUCUUUGCGUGGUCGUACAAGGAGAUGCCAGGACUUGACCCAAAAGUAGCAGUCCAUCAUCUUGCAAUUAAACCGGAUAUCGACCGAUUAAACAAGCACAACGACGUUUUCGACCGGAGCUUAUCCCUCAAAUCGAGGUGGAAGUCAACAAGUUGAUCGAAGCAGGAUUCAUUCGCGAGGUCAAAUAUCCAACGUGGAUAGCAAACAUUGUCCCUGUUAGAAAAAAAAAUGGACAACUUCGCGUUUGUGUAGACUUUCGCGAUCUGAAUAAUGCAUGCCCUAAAGAUGAUUUUCCCUUGCCCAUCACCGAAAUCAUGGUUGAUGCAACUACUGGACACGAGGCGUUGUCGUUUAUGGAUGGGUCGUCUGGAUAUAAUCAAAUACGGAUGGCCCUCUCAGAUGAAGAAAUGACAGCUUUCAGAACUCCAAAGGGAAUAUACUGUUACAAGGUGAUGCCCUUUGGAUUGAAAAAUGCCGCGCUACUUAUCAACGUGCCAUGCAGAAAGUGUUUGAUGAUAUGUUGCACAGGUAUGUUGAAUGUUAUGUUGAUGAUCUUGUAGUCAAAACAAAGAGACGACAAGACCAUUUGAAGGAUCUAAAAGUCGUGUUUGAUCGCUUGCGAAAAUAUCAGCUAAGGAUGAACCCUCUCAAGUGUGCGUUUGGUGUAACUUCAGGAAAAUUUCUUGGCUUCAUUGUAAGGCAUCGAGGGAUCGAAAAUAGACCAGUCCAAGAUUGAUGCCAUUCAGAAGAUGUCAAGACCUAAAAGUUUGCAUGACCUAAGAAGUCUCCAAGGACGACUGGCUUACAUCCGAAGGUUCAUCUCUAACUUGGCCGGUCGGUGUCAACCUUUUCAAAAGUUGAUGAGAAAAGGAGAAAAUUUUGUGUGGGAUGAAGCUUGUCAGAACGCUUUUGAUAGCAUAAAGAAAUACUUGCUUACUCCCCCAGUGCUGGGAGCUCCAGUACCUGACAAACCACUAAUAUUGUACAUUGCUGCACAAGAAAGGUCCUUAGGAGCAUUACUGGCACAAGAAGAGGUAAAGGGAAAGGAGCGUUCUCUCUACUAUCUAAGCAGAACAUUAAUUGGGGCUGAAGUUAACUAUUCUCCUAUCGAAAAGAUGUGUCUUGCACUUUUCUUUGCCAUUGAUAAGUUGAGGCAUUAUAUGCAGGCCUUCACGGUUCAUCUAGUGGCAAAAGCAGACCCUAUAAAGUAUGUUCUAUCCAGGCCAAUCAUCGCUGGACGCUUAGCCAAAUGGGCGGUUCUACUCCAACAAUAUGACAUUGUCUAUAUUCCCCAAAAGGCGAUAAAAGGACAAGCGCUAGCAGACUUUUUAGCAGACCACCCAAUUCCUUCGGAUUGGAAGUUAUGUGAUGACCUACCAGACGAUGAGGUUUUCUUCACAGAAGUUAUGGAACCUUGGACUAUGUACUUCGAUGGUGCAGCUCGAAGAAGUGGUGCGGGGGCAGGCAUUGUCCUCAUUUCUCCUGAGAAGCAUAUGUUGCCUUAUAGCUUUGCACUUUCCGAAUUGUGUUCAAACAAUGUGGCUGAAUAUCAGGCUUUGAUAAUUGGCCUUCAAAUAGCAUUAGAAAUCGGAGUGUCAUUCAUAGAGGUCUAUGGUGAUUCAAAAUUGAUAAUCAAUCAACUCUCGCUUCAAUAUGACGUGAAACAUGAAGACUUGAAGCCAUAUUUUGCUUAUGCUCGACAAUUGAUGGAAAAGUUUGAUAAUGUGAUGUUAGAACAUGUCCCUAGAGUAGAAAAUAAGAGAGCGGAUGCAUUGGCAAAUUUAGCCACGGCCUUGACCAUGCCAGAUGAUGUAACUCUGAACAUACCACUUUGUCAACGAUGGAUUAUACCCCCAGUUAGGCCUGAAUGUCAGGAAGUGAACAUGGCAACAUCCUAUUUGAUUGAUGAAGAAGAUUGGCGUCAACCCAUCAUAGAGUAUCUUGAACAUGGAAAGCUUCCAAAGGAUUCUCGUCAUAAAAUUGAGAUACGAAGAAGGGCAGCACACUUCAUUUAUUACAAGGGAACUUUAUAUCGCCGUUUUCUUGAAGGGCUCUUCCUUCGAUGUCUCGGAAAGGAAGAUUCGGUAAAAGCUCUAAAGGAAGUACAUGCAGGUGUUUGUGGAGCACAUCAAUCGGGACCAAAGCUUCAAUUCCAGCUAAGAAGAAUGGGCUACUACUGGCCUAAGAUGAUCCAAGAUUCAAUAGACUAUGUGAAGAAGUGUGAGCCUUGUCAAUACCAUGCAAACUUCAUACACCAACCUCCAGAACCUCUUCAUCCAACUGUGGCUUCUUGGCCUUUUGAGGCUUGGGGACUCGAUCUGGUUGGCCCCAUUACACCAAAAUCAUCAGCAGGACAUUCUUAUAUCCUAGCAGCAACAGACUAUUUUUCAAGGUGGGCUGAGGCCAUUUCAUUGAGAGAAGCCAAGAAGGAGAACGUGGCAGACUUUAUUCGAACACACAUCAUCUAUCGAUACGGUAUUCCACAUCGAAUCGUGACGGAUAAUGGAAAGCAAUUCUCCAAUAGUAUGAUGGACAAGUUAUGUGAAAAAUUCAAAUUCAAGCAAUAUAAGUCAUCCAUGUACAACGCAGCUGCGAAUGGACUAGCAGAAGCAUUCAACAAAACAUUGUGUAAUCUUUUAAAGAAAAUUGUCUCCAAGUCAAAGAGGGAUUGGCAAGAAAAGAUCGGCGAGGCAUUAUGGGCUUAUCGGACGACUCAUCGCACCCCUACAGGGGUUACACCAUAUUCGCUUAUUUACGGUGUGGAGGCUGUCCUUCCUCUCGAAAGGGAAAUUCCGUCACUAAGAAUGGCAGUACAAGAGGGAUUGACUACCGAAGAUAAUGUGAAGUUACGUCUUCAAGAAUUAGAAGCACUUGACGAAAAGCGAUUAGAGGCUCAGCAAGCAUUGGAAUGUUAUCAAGCGAGAAUGUCCAAAGCUUUUGAUAAACACGUUAAACCUCGCUCCUUUCAAGUCGGUGAUCUAGUACUUGCCGUAAGGAGACCGAUCAUCACAACAAGGCAUACAGGAAAUAAGUUCACACCUAAAUGGGAUGGACCUUACAUUGUUAAAGAAGUUUAUACAAAUGGCGCAUACAAGAUCGUUGAUCAAGACGGACUACGAAUUGGCCCAAUCAAUGGUAAAUUUCUUAAAAAAUUUAUGCUUAAUUUUGUUAGGUAAAAAAAAAAAAAAAAAAGUUGAACUACGUUAUGACUUGAUCCCUAUAUUAUAAAGGGUACGUAGGCAGCUUAAGGAAAACCUUAAGCCCAGUCCAGCAAAAAAAAAGUUGAACUACGUUAUGACUUGAUCCCUAUAUUAUAAAGGGUACGUAGGCAGCUUAAAGAAAACCUUAAGCCCAGUCCAGCAAAAAAAAAAAGUUGAACUAUGUUAUGACUUGAUCCCUAUAUUAUAAAAGGCAGCUUAAAGGAAACUUUAAGUUCAGUCCAAUAAAAAAAAAAGGAAGAAAGACAAAUUACAUUUAAUAGAAAAUAUGAUGAGGAGUGGAACAAUGAAAGAAUAAUUUUUUUUUUAUUAUUAUUAUAAACUUCUAGCAAAAAAAAAUUAAAAAGGCAUAAGUAGAUAAAUAAGAGAAAGCAGAGAAUCAUGGAGUCCAUUUAAAGUUCUUCAGCUCCUCUAGUGUGCUUUCUAAAGAUUCACGAAGUGUUGAUAGCAUUUUAGCAUCAAUAUCUCCAACGAUCGGGGCACAUUCGAGUUUGUCAAUUUCCUCACAAGUCUUCGAAAUCUCAUGUUGCUUCUGCUUCAGCUCCAGGUCGUUCUUAAAAAUUAUUCCAGAAAGUUUAGCAGACUCAACCCGCACCAUCUUUAGUUUUGCCUCUAGUUUAGCCUCCUUAGCGGACAGUCGUGUAAGACGACGUUUAGCAGUGUUGGUCUCUGCUAAUAUACGAUUCUCAUCAACUCGCAGAGUCUUCACAAAACCUUUUGCCUCCGUUAGCUGAACAUCCUUAGUUGAUUGGAGUGGAAAUGAGGAAUGUAUUUGAUUAUGGUUCUCGACACCUUGGAAGUAACCAUUCACAAGCUCCCUCAAAACAAUAAGGUUGUCGCUGCCGUUAGUCGCAAUCGCAUCAAAGAUCUUAUGCAUUUCUGGUUCAAGACUACUCAGUCGUUCAAAAGGGGUACGAAUGAUCUUCUGUCGUAGGUUUUCCCAUAAGGUUAUGGCAGCCUGUCGUCGGAGGUCAGAAAUUAAGCUGUCAGCACAAAAAUGAGAAAUCUCAGAAACUGUAAUAGGCUCUGUGCCUUCCACUUUUUGAGGAGGUCCCUUGAUCACAGGAGGACAAGCAGACACAAUAUUUGCGCCUAUAGGUUCCUUAGAGUUCCCAUUAUAAGAAAGUACAACGUUACAGUCUUCUAGAUUCAGCAUCAACUCUAGGGUAUCUUCGAUGUGUAGGUCAUGAUCACCUAAAGAAUACUACAAAAUAAUAUUAACAACAAGAAAUAAGGGGAGUAAAGGAGAGAAAAUACAAUCAAUAAAUAAAUAAAAUUGGGAGACGAAAAGAAACCAUGGGGGAAGGGACAUCGAAAAAUUGUGCAGCAUCAGGGACCCGAAUAGGAGACUCUUCAUCAUCGAUCGACUGUUUGUUAGGCUUCUUGGGUCUCUUCCAAUGGCGAUCAUCAUUGCUGCUUUGACUGUCCUCAAUACGUUUAGAAGGAUGCUUGGUAGCUAUCGAUAAGCGGUUGUCCUUACCCAUAUUGUCAAUACCACCUUUAAUAAGAUGUUUAAAUCGUGUAGAAAGAGACAAAUUAUCCACCAAGCGUUUUGUCCCUCCCUCAAUUUUCUCCACAAGUCGUUCAUCAGUUUCAUCGGAGCAUAUCUUCUGAUUUCCACUACCAAAAUUAUGUUCAAUCUUUUUUGUGGUUUUGGAUUUGAUGUGAGGGGGAGUAGGACGAUCUAUCAAAUGUUGUACUCCUUCUUGGAGGUAAUCACCGUGUUUUGCAAGCCACCAGACCUUAUAAUGAGAGGUAACAUGUGUGUCUGGAUUAGGGGCAGACACAGGAAGAUAUACUUGGGAAAGUGUAUUCUCGCGAAUACAAAUCAUCCAACAAUAUCGUACGUUAAAAAAAUUGGCUUCGGGAAUUUCUUCACCUAAGUCAUAUGGCACGUCUUGAUAAAAUCCAAAUGGUCGGCUAAAGCGACAAGGACUAUAAGGCUCAAUAACUGUGGAGGAUCCACAUUGCGAGGAUAGAAAACAAGAGCAAAUGCUUAUGAAAAAUGAAGCAUUCUAACUAAUUAACUCUCCAUCAUCCGUUAAGAGUUCGUCCUUAUUCUUUGUUGGAAGACACGCAUGCCAUGACACAUACUUUCCCUUGUGGAUAUGUGUUCGAGCCUCAAGAUUAGUAUAAUAUUUGGCCCCACCUUCACCAGAAAAUUCAACCAUGCGAGGACCCCUAAGACUCCUAGGGGCUUUAUAAUGAGUGUUGAAGUAAAGAGCAAGCCACCCAUGGACAUAGUGAAGAGGAAAACAGGCAUUUGAAUAACCAAGUGAUGAAGUAGAAUCAUGAACUUGGCGUAGGCCACUAUAAAUAUUAGCUAAAACAGGGACGGCAAGGCUAAAUGUGUAGCCUUCCGCCAUGAGGCUAGCAACCUUAAAAACCUCCGGACGAAGGGAAAGUUGCUUAUCAGGGAACACAAACACACAUAGCCAACAAGAGAGAAAUGCCGCUAGAUAGGUUUUGUCCCUAUGAUCAUCAGUGACGCUUAAGUCAAGGAACACUUUGAGUUCAGCUUUAGACCAGUCAGGACGUCUGAUGGGAAUUCCAUCUGGAUUAUGAGUUGAGCGAGGGCGAGAAGUCUUUUUAGGCUUUCGAGGAGGCGGUUUCGAAUACUUUACCUCAGAUCGUGUAACCCAAAAAGAGAUCCAUUCACUUACAGUGAUUUGAGAGUGAUCCAUGCGUUGAGAAACAAUGCGGUAAUAGGCUGCAAAUAAAUGCUCACAACUUCUUGGACAUACAUCAGGUGAUCCUAUUAAGUCUUGGUGGCAAGGAAUGCUUUCUUCAUAAAAUCUACCUUUAAUCGGGAGUCCUCCUAGUAUCCAUAAGUCCCAUAAGGAGAUGGACAUCUCACCAGCUGAGGUGUGAAGAGUGUUUGUUGAAGGACACCAUGCCUCGCAGAAAGCCCGAUCAAUGUCACUGUUGCGAUCAUAUGUAUAUAGGGAAGCCAUCACAGCAUUAAAUAGGGAGGCUCGCUUGAGUACUGCCGUAUUUCUAGCAACAACGAGCUCUAACCACUCCCAAUAAUGAGGAAGAUAGUAAAAUUCUCCAUGUACCUUGAGCACAUUUCCCCAACGAAUUUUUGGGUCGUUUAUAAUUCGACGACCCAACGUUGAUUCUGGAUCCUCAUUUGGAGGCUUGUUGUGAAUCGAAGACUCCAGAAACCAAGAUUUUAAAGAUGAAUUUGGAUUUACAAACCGUUCCUUGGACCAUUUAGGCAAAAAGAUAAAAUUGUCCUCGGGUAUUUGAGAGUCCAUAAUAUUCUCAUAUGUCCCCUCUCUCACAGGAAGAAUGAUCCCUUCCUCUAAAGAUUGAUCUACGUCCUUCAGGAUAAUUAAACACCUUUUGGUCGAGUCAGAAUACUCAGUGAAGUGCACCAUGAUGAAAAGAAGAGUUCCUGCAAAAUAAUAAUAAUAAUAAGAAGAAGAAGAAAUAGAAAAAAAAAAAAAAACCAAAACAAAAAAAAAAAAAAAAAAAAAAAAAAAAAAAAAAAAAAAAAAAAAAAAGAAAGAAGAAAAAAAAAAGAAAGAAAGAAGAAAAAAGGGGGGGGAAGAAAAAGCAAAUGGAGAUUGAAGCCCGACGAUGACAGAGUCGAUCUCUCCUACUAGGGCGAUAGAUCUGACGGCAAAAGCCCGAUCGUCCCUAGAAGAAGCUCAACAAAGUCAUUUCUGCAAACGAAGAUCGAAGCCCGACGAUGACAGAGUCGAUCUCUCCUACUAGGGCGAUAGAUCUGACGGCAAAAGCCCGAUCGUCCCUAGAAGAAGCUCAACAAAGUCAUUUCUGCAAACGAAGAUUGAAGCCCGACGAUGACAGAGUCGAUCUCUCCUACUAGGGCGAUAGAUCUGACGGCAAAAGCCCGAUCGUCCCUAGAAGAAGCUCAACAAAGUCAUUUCUGCAAACGAAGAUUGAAGCCCGACGAUGACAGAGUCGAUCUCUCUAACUAGGGCGAUAGAUCUGACGGCAAAAGCCCGAUCGUCCCUAGAAGAAGCUCAACAAAGUCAUUUCUGCAAACGAAGAUCGAAGCCCGACGAUGACAGAGUCGAUCUCUCCUACUAGGGCGAUAGAUCUGACGGCAAAAGCCCGAUCGUCCCUAGAAGAAGCUCAACAAAGUCAUUUCUGCAAACG